rnacentral:lncRNA from 1 species
ACCUAGUAUCUGAUCUAGAUAGUUAGUGUUGCGAAAGUUUUCAUUAAGUAUCAGCCCUAGAAUGAAACAGGCAAUUUUUCCGUAGGAGUGGAAACCUACCUGCAGCGAGAUCGUGAGUAUUGACGAGUCUUGUGCAGCUCUUGCGUUCUCUCCCUUCCAGGGCCAGAGUGGAAACCUACUGGUCAGGGUUGCGAGAAACAGUUGGUUAUGAUUACGACAGUGACGUAGUCAUACCGCCGUACUCUAGCUCUAGAACCUAUAUAUCGAUAUCCGUCAAUCCCAAUCUAUUUACCCUAGUGUUAAAACCGAUUAUGAUCCCUUAGAGUUCCCAAAAGCUCAGCGUUCUUAGCCAUAGUUUACAAUUCCAUCGAUUUUUAUUUGCUUACUUAAACCUGCAUUUCAAUUCCCUUAGUUCGAUAUUUUACUUCCUUUACUAGUCUUUCAUUCGAUAUUUUACUUGCUUUAUUAGCCUUUCAUUCGAUUUCUAUACUUGCUUUCUAGGAUAGAUUUAUUUGUUUUCUCUUGUUUUAGUUUAAUUCGUCACAAACAACCAACCUUUAAAAACCAAUCUAGUCUAGACAUAAAGUUAAAAACCGUAGAAGAAUACCAGGCACACUCUGUGGGUUCAAUCCUUAAAUACCACAACUGAUUAGCUGUGCACUUGUGGCUUUCAUUUGUUUUGUUAAGGGUAAAACUUGUUCCCUCACGCAGUUGACACGACAUCACAUAUGAACUUCACCAAGAGUCUUCCACUCGGAUCAUGGAGAGUCAAGUAAUCCUGUCUCAUUCUGACAUCACAGCCGGUUUCGGUGGCUUGUCCUAGACUCAGAAUGUUGCUCUUGAGCUCAGGUAUAUAGUAGAUAUCCGAUACGAGUUUCUGCUCAUCUGUUUUACUUUGAAACAGAAUCGAUCCUUUUCCAGCUAUUCCCACGCAAGAGCCAUCUCCAAACUUCACUUUGCCCUUUAUGUUUUCGUUGAGCUCAGAGAAGAAUGCUUUGUUUUCUGUCAUGUGAUUACUUGCUCCAUUAUCUAGAUACCAAAGUCCUUCUUCUCCUUCAUAGUUCUUUGGUAUUAGAUUUUCCUCAUUCAAAAACCCAUGUCAUGCAUAUAAAGUGCCUCAUCAGCUUCUUCUGUCUCCACUUUAUUUGCCUCAUGUGUCUUUUGCGGUCGUUCAGGACAGACAGAUGCAAAGUGCCCGGGUUUAUCACAUCGAUAACAGAUCACCAUCGACCGAUCCUUCUUCUCCUUCGAUUGGUUCUGAAUUUUUGAUAUUUCUUGUGAGUUAGACCCGCCUCCUCUGCUUUGUCCUCUGUUUCCUCUGCCUCCUCUACCACCCUCUCCCUAUUGAGCUCAAAUUUUUUUGUUGAUCUGAGUUAGCAUAUAGUAGUUUGCCUUGGGUGUCUCCGUGAUUCUCCUCCUCGAGAAUUCUUUCUUCAUACGCCUUAAGCCUUCCUACUAUGUCUUCAGAACUCGUCGUCUUUAGAUCCAACACCUGCUCGAGAGAGGCGAUAAUAUGAAUGAACUUACUCCUAGGCAAACUGUUGAGAAACUUCUUCACAAGUUUUGGUUCUUCAAUUUUUAGCCCUAGAGAAGCUGAUUUUGAAGCUAGUUCAGAUAACUUUCCUGCGAAGCCAUCUAUCUUGUCCGACUCAUUCAUCUUGAUUCUCUCAAAUUCGGACAUUAGGGUUUGAAGCCUCGUUUCCUUGACACGAUCAACUCCUAGAUGCCGUGAUUUGAUCGCGUCCCAUAUCUCUUUUGGAGAGUCUUGUGCGCCGACUUGCAGAAUAAGAACCUUCAGGACAGAUUGAAAGAUAAGUCUUAUAGCGAUAUCGUUCUUGUUGGGAUCGGUCGAACCAGGUUCGAUUGUUUCCCACACCUUAUGGAUUCGCAUAAGGACUCUCAUUCUCAUAACCCACACUGUGUAAUUUGUUGAUGUUAACAUAUGGCACUUGAUCGCAGAAGGAAUAUUUUCCUUCGGAAUAGGGUUAGGGUUUGCGACGAUAUCUCCCAUGGUUAGAUAUCGCAGGUCUCAAGCUUCUCCUUAAGCUCUGAUACCAAUUCAAGUAUUUAAAUCAAUAACAAACUUUAUUUAUAAAAAUAACUCUCUAAUUAUGUUUAGAAAAUCUCUUAAAACUAAACAUACCAAAACAUGUAUCUCUCAUUGAUGCAACUUCAUCAAUGAUUUACAUAUAUAUAGUAUCUUGCAUAACUUAAUAAAUACUUUUUUUCAUUUUUCUAUUAGAAUUAUAUAACUCCUCAUCUAAUAAAGAAAUAUGUCCAAAAUUCUAUAUAACUACUUAACCGACUUGCUAAGUUUGUUUGGGUUUUGGUUUAAUAUCGAUGUUCAUUCAAUAAUUAGGUGGUCAGUAUUUUUAUGAUAUACCAUUAUAAAAUUUUGUUAUAUUACAAUAUUUGCAUCGGUGGACCAUCCCCACCCCAAAGUGCAUGUGAAGUGACCACUUUUCUGCAUUCUGGUUCAACUACUACUCAUAAUCAUAAUGCAUUCUAAAGUACACGAUGAUAUAUAUAAAUAUAAAUAUAUUAUAUAAUAUAUAUAUACUCUUCAUAUAUAGAAAAAAAUGGUGAAGUAGAGUAGAAUAAAAUACUCUUCGUACAUAUAUAUAUAUGACUCAUUAUGUUGACAAAAAUAGUUUUUAUUAAUUAUAUGAGUAUUUAAUAUAUAUAUAUAUAUAUAUUUAAAAGUUAUAUAUAAAGUGGAUUCAGAUAAUAUGAUCUUUAAAUUGUAUCCACGUUUAGAUUAAAAAACCUUAAAUAUCAUGUGUGUCUAGUGACGACAAUUCUAGUUGUCGAGCAUUUACCAUGGGUUAGCUUAUGAAAACUUAUAAUGAUGAUCUUGAGAUGAUAGGUACGACCUACGUGUAUUAGCAGUGUAUUAAUAGUUGUAUUAGGUUUCGUAUGUAAUGUAACAUAUUAUCAUUUUUUAGGUUUAACAUAUUACUAUAUUAGCAUUUAUAUAGUUGACAAAAAAACAUAAUAGCAUUUAUAUUAAUAUAGUAUAGGGGUGGGUCUUUCAUAACUUUCGUUGACGCUAACACUAAAACAAAAUUACGUGAUUGUUCUGCAACUUAUUAUGCUCCUUUGCGAGUUUAGAAAUAGUGAAAACUAAAGAAACCUAAAUUUUAACAAAAAUAAAAGAGUUGCUCCUUUUUGCAUCUUAAAAAUAUAACUUUUAACACACAAAAAUUGUGAAAAAGAAAGAAAUUAACGUUCUCCUAUAAGAAAGUGGAGUCUUUCUGAAAAGAAAUUUGAGUAUAUGGAGAUGAGCGAAAGUGUAAUCUUGCACGCACUAAACAUCUUUCUAUUGGCAUUUGGCAAAAACGUCCACAUAGCAAUCUGUAAUCCGUCUUCAUCCCAACGAAACCAUACAUUGUAUAUAAUUGUACCUUAAAUUUCACAACGACAAAUAUUACGUAGAGAGUGUAUUAUUUUUCCGAAUUCAUAUAUCUAUACUAUUAUUUGCAAAGUCAAAAAUCCUAUGUGUUGUCUCCAGAGCGAUUCGCUUAUGUGUCAUUAUUAAAAUCUAUAAAUGUGUUGUUUAAAUUUAUUUUGAUAGGAUGCUCAUUAAUCCUACGUGUCAAUAUGUGUAACAUGGUUUUUUUAUCGAGUUUGUUAAUGGGCCAGCAGAUUUAUUCUCGGUCAUAGCCACUAAUCAGUUAAAUAGGCCACCAACAAAGAAACCCUAAACACUAAAACAUCUGUCCUACACUAUAUAUACCCGUAUCGUCUACAUAUGUUUUCACUUACAACAAUCGUCACUGUUUUUUGAGGUCAUUUUCCUCUUCUUUAUUGUUCAUAAACAUCUUUUAUAUUUUCUUGUUCGUAAGGAGAUGUUAAUUUUGUAUAGAUAGCUUAUUUUCUUAAAUUAACUUGCGUUUUUUUGUAUAGAUAGCCUAUUUUCUUAUAUUCGAUUUUUCUAUAAAUAGCUUAGUUUAUUAAAUUAACCUUAGCUUCUUUGUAUAUAUAACUUAUUUUAUUAUAUUUGUGUUCGUAAGUAUAAAUUAACCUGAGCUUCUUUAUUAUUUUUUCUUAAACCUAGAGUUCAUCCCGUAAACUAUAGCUGAUUGGCUCAAAUUUUUGGAAUCUUAUCUUCCCAUGGAUCUAACAGGUGACUAUAUAUAAUAAUUGUUGUUAAUUAUUUUUUUACAAAUUUAAAGUGUUCAAAAAUAUUUUACUUGUUAUACUAUCCUACUCGCAAAUUCUCUCUAAUUUAUUAUUUUGUUCUUUUGGACAGGGAAACACGUUUUACCUUACCAUUUCGGUAACGAAAAAUAAGAAAGAAAAUACGUAUACAUAAGAUCUAUUUUAAAUUUGUAAAAAACUAAUUAACAAUAAUUAUUAUUUAUAAUUACCUGUUAGAUCCACUGGAAGAUAGGAUUUCAAAAAAGUUCGAGCCAAUCAGCUAUAGUUUGCGGGAUGAACUCUAGAUUUAAGGAAAAACAAUAAAGAAGCUCAGGUCAAUUUAUAUUUACAAACAAUAACUGAUUACUCCUAAACAUUGAUGAACACAAAUAUAUAAAAAGACGUUUACAAACAAUAAAGAAGAGGAACACAAUACAGGCAUAAGAAUGAUAUGAAGAAAGAGAAUGAAGAGAUGGCCAAGAUGGUUGAAAGUAAACUAAGAGAACAAAAUAGGAAAUAAGAAUGACGACAAAUUUAUUUCUGAACUUCUACAGCUUUGUUGCAACUUUUGAUCAUUUUAUUAUUAUGUUACAUGUGAAAACGGACGUAAUGAUCUAAUUUCCAAUGAGACAUCGUUUUUGAAAAGUUGUGUAUUGUAAAAGUGUUUCAUCUGAAUUUUAUUUUGAUUGAAUGAAAAAAGCUUUAUGAAACCUCCGUUUGAGGUAGCAUAAACAGAGAAAAACAACGAUGAAAAAACAUGUUAGCCCACAAAUCUUACGUUCUCUUUUUUUUUAUUAUUGCACAAAAAUUAUUAUACUACCUUUAAGGAAAUUGAAUCUGUACAAAUCAAUGCAACUAUCAGUUAUAAUUCAUAUUGAAAAUAAGAGAAAAAAAAACUACAGAAGAAAUUGAAGGAUACAAAAGAAGAAGAAACAGAAAAAGAAAACGAACAGACGACGAAGAAGUCAAAAAAGACAAAGACAAAGUCAUAUCAAUUAAAUCCGAUAAGAAAAAUAAAAAGGUGGAUAACCCAAACUAAUGAAUAAGCACAAGGAUAACAAGAUGGAGAAGUUGAAGAAGAAGAAGAAAAAGAAUCAGACACUAGAGAAGUUAGCGAAUAAUAAAAAAUGAGAAAACAAAGUAGUAGAAGAAUAAGAGGAAGAAGAGGGGGAGUAAGAAAAUGGAAAAAAGCAGAAGUUGAGAUUAUGAUUAUUGUGAAAAAAAAGUCAAAGAAAAUAAGAAAAAGAAGAAGAAUAAUACAAUGAGGAAAAUCAGAAGAGGAAGCAAAGGAAGACAAAGCAGAAGAGGAAUAAGACAAAGACGAGAUAAGUAAGAAUAUAGAUUAAAGAAAAAUCAAAAGAAAUAAGACGAAGAAAAAACAAAAGUAAAAGAAGAAGCAGAUGUUGGAGAAGACAAAGAGGAUAAAGAAGUAGAAGUCAAAGUUGAAGAGGAUGAAGAUGAAGAAGUAAACGAGGAAGAUGAGAUCAAAAAAAGAGGAGGAGAAGAAGAGAGAGCUGACUAAGAAAAACUCAGAAAAUACGAGGACAUAUAUGUUCUAGAUAAGGAAGAAAAACUGAAGUUGAAGAUGAAAAAGUAUGAGAAGGUGAAGAUGGGGAAGGAAGCUAAGAAAAUAUAGAACAAGAAAUUAAGUAAGAAAAAGAAGAAAAAUGUGAUGAAUUAUAAGAAGGAAGAAGAACAAGAACAAGAUGGAUAAAAAUAAAAGAAAACAAGAAGAAGAAGUCGAAGAAGACAGAUUAUAAAAAAGAAGAAGCUCAAGAUGAUCAAGAAAUUAAGGAAAAUACCAUGAAAAAGAGAAAAUUAAUAAUAUAGAGAAGAGGAAGAAAAAGAAGAAGAUAGAGAUAAAGAAGUAGAAGAUGGAGAAAAACCUAAAGAAUAAUAAGUCAGAGAAGACGAAAACAAUAAAAAAGAAUAAUCUGAGGAGAAAGACUAACAAACCAAAAGAGAAUGGAGAAAAACAACUGUUGGAAAAGAAAAAGAUGAUAAAGAAUAACUCACAGUCAAAAAGGAUUAAGAAGAAGAAGAAACAUAAAUCAAAUAAGUUAAGAAAGAAGAAGAGAAACAUGUGGAAGAACCGAUUAGAAUGACAAACACUUGCAAGAAAAUAGAGAUAAUUUUCUAGCGAGGGAGAGAUAAAAGGAAUUACAGAAAAAAAACUUCUGUAAUUACAAUGUUUUAGUAAAUGGAACAAUAUAUUCAUUAUGGUUAUUAGAUCUUUUUUGGUUGGUCAAAUGUCUAACAUUGUUGUUAUAUUUGUGUUUGGUUUUUUAUUUGUAAUAAAGCUAAUAGUUUAAAGAUGUGAUCAUCCAGUUAUAUCUUGUGUUAAAUCUUCUGACAUUAUAUAUUUUACCGAAUUCAAAACACAUCAAUUAUUCUAUGGAUGAAUGUCUCUAACCUAGCUAUUGCCCUGUUUUGAUCUUGGAUUGACCGAUGGCUUAAUCAAGAGAAUGCUUCGUCGAACCCGAGGGAGCUGGAGGAUGAGUGCUCUCUUUUUCUUUGUUGUUUUUUUUUUUAAGUUUGAUGAGUUACAAGUUUUUUGUGUUUCACGUUCGAUAGUAUUAUGUAAAUUAUUCACAGUAUUAUUCUUUUCAUCUGUUUAAGUUAAACAUCUGAUCUCUUUAUGCAUUAUUAACUGUUCAAAAUUAUAAAAAUUAGAGUAUGUGAUCAUCACUCAUUCACUCUCGAAACAAGUAAUAAGACUUUUAUUUUUAACACACUUUCGCCCGCACAUGGUGCGGACUACCACCUAGUUUAUUUUUAAGAGUGGAUGAGGUUGAAUCUAUUCUAUUAAAACAGAAGCACAUUUAGUGCUUGCAUCCAAACACUCCCAAAGUUUUUUUUUAUAAUAUUUUAUUUUAUUUUUAUAUUUAAUUUUCGAAAAUUAGUUAUUAAUUUAAAUAUUUUUAGAUUUCCUAAAAUCUAGGUCAUCUAAUUUGAAAUUUGAAUUAAAUUUAGUUACAAAAAUUUUCAUUCAAUUUAAUUUAAAUUCAAAAAAUCAAAAAAAUUAUAAUUAAAUUUUAUUACGAAAAUUUAGAUAAUAAUUUUAAUACUUUAGAAUUUCUUUAAUACAGGAAAGAUUUAAUUUUAAAUUUUAAAUUUAAAUAAUAUUUUUAUAAAAAUGCAUAGUUAAUAAAUAUUUUAUCGUAUUUUAUCAUAAACAAUCAGUCUAAAAUAUCAUAUAUUUGAAAUUAAUAAAUAUUUAUAUUAUACAAUAAUAUGAUCGAGCUGAUUAGAGUUAUAUAUAUAUAUAUGAUUUGAUACAAUUAAACUAACAGGUUAGCCCGUUUAUAUAUAUAUAUAUACACACAUUUUUUUAAUAGCACAAAUAGUAAAUAAAUAUCUUAUUAUAUUUUUUCAUAAUCAAUUGAUCCAAAUAUUUCAUAUUAGUAAAUAUUUAUAGGGUUAUAAAAAUUAUAAUUAUAGUCUUAUACGGGUUAGUUUGUCAAAACAUGUAAGAUAUUAAAAAUGAUUUAAGACAACUAAACGGAUGAAUUAGCAAAUUCAUAGAUAUAAGGAUUGUUUAUGUGUAAAUUUAAAUUCACAUAAUAACAAAGUUUAUAAUUAACAUUAGAUCAAUGUAUACUUAAUUAACGUAUACUCUUAUUCUACUAAUAUACAAAUUUUACUGUUUAAAAUUAAAAUAUGAUAACAAUUUUUUGAUUUAACAAAAUAAAUAACAAAAACAAAUUAUAUCUAAACAAAAAAGAUAAAUGCAACUUAUAUUAAAAAUAAAAAAUAAAACAUUCUCGUGCGGAGGCACGGGUUAAAAUCUAGUUUUCUUUAAUCGACCUCCCUUCUAGAACAAGUGGCGGCUACAACGAAAAGAAAAUGAAAGUGGGGACAAAAAUGGAUUAAGUAAUAAUUAUGGGGUCCAAAAUCAUAUCCAAAAUUGAAGGCCAAAAAUAGAAUAAGUGAGAAUAAUGGGGUCCAAAAUAAUAUCCGAACUUUUAAAUACCAUAAAUAUAGCCUCCCUCUACCUGCACAGCAUUUUUUCACCUACUCCAGUCACCAGCAAAUCAUCUCCCUCCUUCGACGAUCUGCGUCUCUCGCCGGGAAACUUCUCUCGUUCGUAGAUCGCCGGCGAUUUAAAAAUCUAGAUCGUCUCUCGUAAAACCUAGCGAGAAGCCAUGGCGUUUGAGAAGAUCAAGGUGGCAAAUCCCAUCGUCGAGAUGGAUGGUGAGAUCUCCUUCUCUGUCUCUCUCACUCAGUCUCUCUCUCUUUCGGUUUUUUUUAUUCAGAUCUUCUUUGUUGAUUAUAUACGAAAAUGAAACGUAAUAGUUUCGCUUCCCUAGUUUUUAUCGAAGUUUCGUUGUUACGUUCUCUGAUCCGAUUUGAUGGAAUGUUGUAAACUAGUUUUACUUACGAUUCAGUUUUGGUAUGUGAUUACGUGAUUUUUUAUUGGAAUGAUCUUGUUCUGAACUUGUAUAUACGUUGAUAGAUCAACAAAAAUCGUAGCUCUGUUUGUCGAUUGAUUGAUUUAGCUUAUGAUCUGAUGAAAAACUAUUUGAUUUAUAGCUUCAAACCGGCAAAAAUAGAUUUGAUAUUUGAUUAGAUCCUUUUUUUGAUAAUGUCGGAUCAGAAAAUAGGACUGGGUGAAUAAUAGUUUCUCUGAUAAUUUUCAGCUUCUUGAGACCUAAAUCUAGAACAUUUGGUUUCUUUUACUCACUCUUAUGCUUCAUUUGUCUUGUGUUAUAGGUGAUGAAAUGACCAGAGUUAUUUGGAAGUCCAUCAAGGAUAAGGUAUAAGCUAAACAUGUUCCGUUGCAUGUUCUAAUGCGGAUAGUUCUUGUGUUCGUGUGUUUUCUAAAUCGUUUGCUUUAAUGUUUUCAGCUCAUUACCCCUUUCGUGGAGUUGGAUAUCAAGUACUUCGACCUUGGUCUUCCUCACCGUGAUGCUACGGAUGACAAAGUUACCGUCGAAAGUGCUGUAGCCACUAAAAAGUAUGUGUUUGAACUUGGAACAUACUUGACCACUUUUUUUUUGGUCUGCUUCUUUGAAGCUUACUUAUGUUGCAUCUCUGUUAUGCUCUGUGUGGAAUAUUCUAUCAAUGUUUAACGCUUGUAAUUUUGUUUUAGGUAUAAUGUGGCGAUCAAGUGUGCCACCAUCACUCCAGGUAUAUUUAGAUAGAUAUUUUGCAAUUGAAAAUUUUUUACCAGUCUUAUCAUUUUUACUAAAGUAUUGAUUUUUUGUCACUCGCAGAUGAAGGCCGUGUCACAGAAUUUGGUUUGAAGCAGAUGUGGAGAAGUCCAAAUGGUACCAUCAGGAAUAUUCUGAACGGUAAGAUUUACACAAUUUUAUGUUAAAGCGUCUGGUAAUAUCAUUCUCUGUUGCCUUAUACUGUGUUUGUCUUAAACAGGAACUGUAUUUAGAGAACCAAUUAUCUGCAAAAAUGUUCCCAAGCUUGUCCCAGGUAAUUAUUGACAAAUGGGCUAGUUGCUUUAACAGUUUUAUUGCGAAAGGGUUCUGAGUAUAUUUUUUUUUGUUUUCUAAGGCUGGACUAAGCCCAUCUGCAUUGGAAGACAUGCUUUUGGAGAUCAGUACCGUGCCACUGAUGCUGUAAUCAAGGGACCAGGAAAACUGACUAUGGUUUUUGGUAAACCUACUACCUUUCAUCGGUCAUUUCAUUUGGGGAUGGCAUUGCACAAUUUUGUAAUCUCUUACCACUUCUUCUUUCCUAUUCAUCUGUCGAGUACUAAUGAACUCUGUAAUGUCAUUGAUCUUCAGAGGGAAAAGAUGGGAAAACUGAAACUGAAGUCUUUACAUUUACCGGUGAAGGUGGUGUUGCUAUGGCCAUGUACAAUACUGAUGAGGUAUAGUUAUACUUACGCUUUCUUCUAACUACUUGUUCAUUUCAUGAUUGGCCUCCAAGUCAAAGUUUUAUAUAUACAUUUUUAUCUUAUAUUACAGUCCAUCCGUGCUUUUGCUGAGGCAUCGAUGAACACUGCUUACGAGAAAAAGUGGCCACUUUAUCUUAGCACAAAGAACACCAUUCUUAAGAAAUACGAUGGCAGGUAUGUGAUAUUUGAUCAUUAUUAGGAGAGAGUUUCUCGUUAAUAUUUGAUGUUGAUUGCAGUUUUUGUUUUACUCUGAAGAUUCAAAGACAUCUUCCAAGAAGUGUAUGAAGCUAGCUGGAAGUCAAAGUAUGAAGCUGCUGGUAUAUGGUGAGUCGCCACGCGCCAUUAUCAUGGUGCCUUAUGUAUCAUUCGACUAUGGAGGACACUAAAUGAUUAAAUUGGUUAGGUACGAGCACCGUCUCAUCGACGAUAUGGUGGCUUACGCUCUUAAGAGCGAAGGAGGCUAUGUGUGGGCAUGCAAAAACUAUGAUGGUGAUGUCCAAAGCGAUUUCUUGGCACAAGGUUUGUGUGAUCUCGUGAAUGAAUUUGUUGGCUUGCUUAUGUUUCUGUUAGCUAAUUUGUUCUUUAUAAUGUGUUGUAGGGUUCGGAUCACUUGGGUUGAUGACAUCAGUUUUGGUAUUAUAUCAGUGACACAAUCACCUUUUAUAUCAGUGUCUAAAUUUUACAAUGGUUUGUGUUAUCUCGAUUAGGUUUGUCCGGAUGGGAAGACGAUUGAAGCUGAAGCAGCUCAUGGAACGGUGACACGUCACUACAGGGUUCACCAGAAAGGUGGUGAGACCAGCACAAACAGCAUAGCUUCUAUUUUCGCUUGGACUCGUGGUCUUGCACACAGGGCUAAGUUAGAUGACAACUCAAAACUGUUGGAAUUCACCGAGAAGCUCGAAGCUGCUUGUGUCGGUACAGUGGAGUCUGGGAAAAUGACUAAAGAUCUUGCACUCAUCAUUCACGGCUCAAAGUAAAUCUCUUCUUCACUCUUGAAUUUCAUGUUUCUUGUCAAGAUUUGCUUUGAUUGAUUUAUGUUUAUUGUCGGUUUGUUUCCAGGCUCUCGAGGGACACUUACCUGAACACGGAAGAGUUCAUCGAUGCAGUUGCGAACGAGCUCAAAGCAAGACUCGGCAUCAAAGCUUAAGAGAACUAAAGACUCAGUUACUCAGUCAUUAAUUUCUAUCUGGUGGGUUUGUGAGAGUGGUUGGUGGGAUUGGGAGAAAUAAAAAAGAGAAACUUUUGGUUUAAGGGGAAUAUUGAGAACGAUUUGUUUCCUCUCUUUAUAAUAUUUUCUAAACAUUGCGACAUUUUUUUUCUUUCUUAUUUAUAAUUUAUGCAGAUCACGAAUUUUAUUUGAUUCGUAUGGUGAUUCCCUUGAUGUAGUGUAUAGUUUAAACGUAAACAUAAAAACAAGUGUGGAGACGAGAAUCUGACGUGAAAGCACAAUUAGCUUUUGAAAAUUUAAGAAUUCAAACUAUUUUUUGAGGCUAAACUAUAGAUGAAUCAUGAAAGAAUUCAACAAUUAUAUAUCGCAUAAAAUUUUGAAGUUAUAGGUGUUUUCUAUCCAAUUGUGAUAUUUCAAAUUAUAUUCUCUUCUUGUAUCCUCAACAAUGGAUUCUUUUUCUUCUUCUUCGACAAGAGAAAAAUCAAAUUGUUUGUGAGGAAUAAAACCCAUUUCAAGAACACGAAUUUCUAUGAGAGAAUAGAUCACCUACGAGCUCUCGACUCAAUGCGACAUCCAAGUCUGCAUCCUGUAUUACGGUUGUGACGGCGAACUCAUCAACACAUGGCCUGAGGAUCAAUACAAGUUUCUUAACAAGAAGAUCAACGACGAAGAAGAAGAGAUCUCUCGAUAAAACUACACAAAUUCUCACAUAAAGUCUUGGAGAUUGAGCAUUCGUUGGACACUCGUUUACGGAUGUUCCAAGACAAGCUUCAGGUUCUUCUUCAGACCGAACCAGACCAGAGCAGAUUUUCAAUCUUUCUCUAUAACCAUGACAACAACUUCUCUCAACUCGUUGACCCAGUUUCAAGCUUUGGCCAAGCGACGGAUUUACUUGGGCCACAAGGAUUUGCUGCAGCAACAACAUGGUGAUUCCUCCUCAGAUCAUGCAGACACAAAAUCUACUUCUCUUUUAAAGACAGGGGGAAUAAAUAAUUAUGCACAUAUUAAAUAAGUAAAUAAUAAAUAAUUAUGUAUGAGAGUAAGUUAGGUAUCCACGUGUGUAAUAACUCUUAAAUUAAGUAUCCAUAUAUAUGUAAUAGCUCUAAGUUAGGUAUUCAUGUGUAUAAUUCCAUCAUUAUAAAUAAAAGGUUUAGGUGCUUGCAUAAACUAAACUAAAUCUUGUAAUUGAGUCUGAGAGAAAGCUUGAGAGUCUUUAUAAUUUAUGAGUGUUCGAUAUAAAAUAUUUCUCAUUGUAUAAUCAUCUCUUCCAUUUUUUAAAGGGAGGAUUACUGUACUAACCUUAGAAAGUAUCUUUAUUGAUUGUUUGGCGCACUUUUUUUAUUUUUUAUAAAACUAAUCUAGUAUACCCAAAACACCAUUUUCGCCUUUGUUGAAAAAAACCUAAUUACGAAAAUGUUAUUACUUUUUAAUAUCACGUAGGCAGAAAAUAGCACUGAAAAAAUGAUAAGUCUACCAGGGUUUGGCGGUAGACUUAACAAAUUUUGGUCAACGCAAAAAUUUAGAUGGUAGAGUUAUUAGGACGAUGGUUGAUUUAUUUGAGAGUUGGUAGAUUUGUUAAAAAUUGGUAGACUUUUCUUGGCAGAGUUUUGACAAUGAGAUGUAGAUUUAUUAAGUUUCAGUAGAUUUGUUGUUAUGUAUGACACACUUGUCAAAUGUAUUGGUAGACUUGUUAAGAAAAUCGUUGACUUACUCGAAUAGUUGACUUUGUCGGUAGAUUUGUUGACAAUGGUGUAGAUUUAAUUCCUGCAUUGGUAGACUUAUUUCUUUUGGUGGUAGAUUUAUGUUACAUUAUUUUCAUAACGUGACGGUAGAUUUAUCCCUUUUAUGGUAAAUUACUGUUGAAAUUGGUAGAGAGCUAUAUCAUGUUGGUAGAUUUAUCGCUUUUGUGGUAGAUUUGUUGGUUAUGUGGUAAAUUUAUAUUCAAGUAAAAAUUUGGUGAUUUCCUUCCAUUGAGUGGUAGAUUAACUGUUAUAUGUGGUAGACUUAUAAAAUGUUGGUAGAUUUUUCGCUUUUAUGGUAGAUUUGGUUAUGUUGUAGAUUUACAUUCAAGUAAAAAUUUUGUGAUUUUAUUCCGUUGAGUGGUAGAUUUACUGUUACAUGAGGUAGACUUAAAAAAUGUUGGUAGAUUUUUUUUUGUUAUUCUAGUAGUUUUUCAAUCAAUUGGUAGAGUUAUUGCACGUAUGAUAGAUUUAUAUUGAGCUUCAUGUGGUAGAUUAAAUAACUUUGGUAUUUACUCAGAUAACCUCGAUCUGAUAAACAUAUUUGAUGCUUGAUGGUAGACUUUUUCUUAUGGUAGAGUUAUUUACAUUGCUUGUAGUAAACUUAGUUACAUUGUUUUUGGUAGACAUUUGACAUUUUCAAUUGAAAUUACUUAUUUGCCAUAAAAGUAUUCAGCAAUAUACGAAAACACCAGAAGUGUGCUAGACUUGUUUUGGGGUGUCGUAUAUUAAACAUGUUCCGGAUGUAUGGUAGACUUGUUCCAUGGUUAUAUUUGAGUUAGUUUUGUUACCAUUGUCGAUUUCUUUGCACGAUAUUGCUGAGAUUAUGCCUGUAAACUGUGAUUUGAUCACAGAUGAUUAUUGGUCUUUGUGGUAUAGUCGUCACAGUCAAUGGUCAAAAAUUUCUUGCAUGAAUCUUUUUUCUAUGAUUGCUAUAUCUUUCCUCUAAGAUAACAUUGCUUUUCAUAUUAACCUUGAACAUAUAUGUCCUAUUAGUUCACUUAAACAUUUAUCUUAUGUCCUUUUUGUUUUUUUGUCUGUAAUAACCAUCUCUUAACUUAUGAUCUUUUGAUUUUUUAUUUGUGAAUAUUUUGUUACAUUUAAGUAUUUAACUCUAUUUACAUAAACUCUUGAACAUCACAAUGUUAAAUGAUUUUAGUUAUGUGUUUUGGUUAAAUUUCAUUCACUUAGGAUAUACAUCAUAGUGAAAGUAAAGAAAAUUAUUUGAAUUGAAUAAUAACAUUACUAGCAAAUGUGGUAAAAAGAUGAAACAUUACUAACAAAUAAAUAUACCAUCAAGUAACUAAUAAAAACUACCAAACCACAUAGUAUUUUAAAAUAAAUUUACCAUCAAAUAACUAAUAAAUCUACUAAACCACAUAUCUAAAAUAAUAUACCAUCAGAUAACUAAUAAAUCUAACAUACCACAUAUCGUUUUAUCAAAUAAAUCUACCGUCAAAUAAUUAAUAAAUCUACCAAACCACAUACCGUUUUUAAAAUUAUUUACCAUCAAAUAACUAAUAAAUCUACCAAACCACAUAUCGUUUUAUCAAAUAAAUCUACUGUCAAGUAACUAAUAAAUCUAUCAAAGCACUUAUUAUUUUUAAAAUAAGUCUACCAUUACACGUUACAAACAUUACAACAACAAAAAUCUACUAUCCACCAGAAAUUUUUUUUCUUUCACUGGAAUCUUGUUCCGUUGAAGAGAACCACAUAUUAAACAAGUUAUCUGCAACAACAACAAAAAAUUAAGUUUUCUUGUCACCGCCAACCAUAGCAUCUCCAUAGUUUAUCAUCGAUAUUAGAUCCAAAAACCCAGAUCUAGAAAAAUAAAAUAAAAGAAUUCAGAAUUUAAGAAAGAAAAAUAACGUAAUAAUAGAACAAAUUGUAGAAGCCAUGGAAAGAUCUAGAUCUUCGAGCUUGGAAACAUUGGAGGCGCCUUGGUACAAGAAAUCGGUAGGGCUAUGCCUCUUUUUCUCUAUCUGAAACAUCCAUGCUUUGAAAUUCAUUAAGGAUAACUAUUCAUGCAACAAAAUUUAACCAAAAAAAGAGAAAGAGGAGAGCACGAAAGGAAUGGAAGGUUAAGAAGAAGAGAAAGAAGGGAAAGAAGUAUAGCAGCGCCGUUAGAGAGAGAGAGAGAGAAAAGAUGAAUUUAGGGGUUUCUCUUUUUUUUUUGAUUUUGUAUUUUUUUUUAAUCUUUUUUUAAUUUUUUUUGUUUAAAAAUAGUUUUUUGCACAAAAAAAAAUUUUUCCCAAAAAAAAAUUUUUUAGAAAAAAAAAAUCAAAAUGGCAAUUUUGUAAUAACAUAAAAUAUUAGAAUAAAUUUUUUUAUUUUAUUAAUAAUCAAAAAAUAUUUUUUUAUCAACCAUAAUGGCAUUCUCGUAAUAUAUUCAAUAUUUGGAUUAUGAUAUAAGACCAACUUUAUAAGGUUAGUCUUGUAAGACGAUAAAUAUGUUAGGUUAGAUUUGUCAUUUCGUCAACCUUAAAGGCUAGUCUAAGGUAUUUUCACUAAUCUUUUAUACUUUUCAUCAUUCAAAACGUUCUUCGUGAUUGUACCCACUAUGUAUUUGUAAAUUAAUAAAUAAUUAUGGACAUGUUGAAUAAGUAAAGAAUAAAUAAUUAUGCAUGAGAGUAAGUUAUGUAUCCACGUGUUUAAUAACUCUAAGUUAGGUAUCCACGUGUGUAAUAACUCUAAGUUAGGUAGCCAAGUGUGUAAUUCCAUCACUAUAAAUAAGAGGUUUGGGUGCUUGCAUAAACCAAACUAAGUCUUGUAAUUGAGUCUGAGAGAAAGCUUGAAUCUUUGUAAUUUGUGAAUGUUCGAUAUAAAUAAAAUAUCUCCUCUUGUAUAAUUAUCUCUUCCAUUCUUUAAAUAACAUUUUAUACUUUUGAUCAUUCAAAACCCUCUUCGUGAUUGUACCCAUUAUGUAUUGACAGUUUAAGCUCUAAUUCUUAUCUCCCCAAAGAAUAAUAUGCCUACGAGUUGCCUUUAUCUACAAUCUAGUAUGAGAGUAUACUAUGUGGUUGCCAUUUAGUGAAUCCUCCACAUCAAAAGUCUUAUAUAGCUAAAGAAAAAAAAAGAAUUUUGAGAAAAAACUUAUGAGAUCAUAAUGCUCAAAGUACUUUGAGACUCAAAGUUAUGAAGUAUUGCCUCGGUUAUUGAGCUAAAACAUCUUACGAGGGAUUUCUCAAAUAUUCUUAGCGCAUCAUAAACAACUCUUGACUUAAUAUGACUCUAAGGGAUAGAUAAGAAAUAAAACAAUCUGUCUUGGUUUCUGGUCUCAUCACAUAUUAUGAAAAGUUCCCUAAACACAACUACUUUCAGAAAAAUAACUUCUAGUAAGAUAGAUUACCUAUAUGAAAUAUAAUAUGUGAGUGAAGACAGUAAAAUACCCAUCACCCAGUUACUUUUACUUAACCCAUAUUGAUAUGAUCGUGACCAGCUCAGAGGAGGAGGAACCAGAGGUAGCUGGCAGGAUCACUCGUUCCAGAGCUAGAGAGAUGGCUAAGGAGGCUCACGCACUCAUUGCCACAGAGGACAGCGAUCACCAGGAGGCUGGAGCUCACAUCUUCAACAUCUCUAUCUUGAAGAAUGAAGAACCCAUUAACAAUGACUAGGUAACUUAGGUGAUGAUUCUGUACUCUUUUCCUUGGUGAAGAUUUUGGAAGGCAAGGAGGUUCUUCUCCAAGGUUUUUAACGAGGCAGAAAUCAUUGCUACGUCGAGUUACUUAGAAGUUGUUACUAAUGGGUAAUAACGUGCAAAGUCACAAUGACUUGUGCACUAGUUGUUUUAGGCGCACCACUUAGGAUUUAGAAGGGACGCCUCGCUGUUUUAUUUUUAAAUCAAACUUCGUGUUGUUUUUAUUUCAGACUUCAUGUAGUUUUGUAUUAGGGCUGCGAUUUUUCUCUCUUACUCUAUAAAAUAGAGAAAAUCACCUAUGUCAUAUUCAGUGAAGAAUUUUGAUCAAACUUUUAACGUGUUCUUCUCUCUUUGAUUUCUGAGAACUAAAAACUCUGAAAUUCGAAUCUCUUACAAACUAAUCUGUUUACAAGAGAUUCUUCUAUCCUUCAUCAUCAUCGAUUCGAAUAUCACACUACCACCACACUAUCAAUCGAUCAUCUCACCAUCACAAACCAUCGAUCCGAUCCACCAGCCACCAUCACCACUCCAUCGCAUCAUCGCUGCAUUCCAUCCACCACAUUGCCACGUCUAUUGCCUCUUGCUUCAGAGUAGAUCACCUUGGAUCGUAUCACGUGAUAUCAGAGCCAACUCUGAACCAAAGGCUGAGCGAAACUCUAACCCUAAUCUCUGUGCUUUGAAUUUUCGUCUCUGUGUUAUUAGGGUUAGCGAGUUCUGUGACUGUGUGCAUCGAUUUGAUUCGUUUUGUUUCAUAUUAGCGAGUUCUCUUAUCAUCGCAUCGUUCUCUCUUGUAUUGUGUCUCGGAUCGAUCGCUGUUAGGAUAGAUCGUGUUCGUCGAAAGUGUAUUUCGUGUCGAGUUUGUUUAGUUUCGAGUCUGAGAAUCGUUGUUAGGAGUCUGCACGAUUUCGUUAGGUGUGAUAGGGUUUCGUGAUCUCGUAACUUGUUUGUUAGUGUGUUAGGGAUUCGUUAGUCUUCGAUUUUUGUUGUUAGGCCUCGUUUUUCAUCGUUUUUUUCGUGUAGGCUUGUUAGGAAAUCUUUUUUGUGAUUUCUGUUAAGUUUAAAAAAAAAAAAAAAAAAAUUUCGUUAAAUUUCAUUAGUUUCGUUAAGUUUGUUUUUAGAUUUCGUGGGGAUCAUUUAUUUUUUUUUAAUGAUGAUUUUAGUUUUGCUGUUUUUGUGAUUCCUUCUAGAACAAGUUACUGCGAGUUUUUUUUUUUUUUUUUUUUUUUUUUUUUUUUCAGGUACCAUGGAGCUUUCGGCUGAGGCAAUGGAAGCUCUGAACCGAGCAAUGUCUCAACAAAUCAAAGAAGCGAAUCAAGCCAUAGCAACUCAGCUCACCCAACAAAUCGAACAACUCAACGACAAGUUCGAGACCAAGAUGAGUGAUCUGCUCAAAGAUCUCAGUGCAAGUGGAGAAGAGUCGUCUCAAACUCCAACUCCGUCAGAAGCAAUGCGCUUAGCUAAGGGUAAAGGGCACAUAGGAUCUUCCCGGAAACUCCCACGCCACCCAACACCUUCCGAAGCCAGGACUAAAGCUAAGUCCAGCCGAAGCCAAAUUGGGGGCAGAGAAACUACGUUUAAUCCGAGGAGGAAUCCUACUGAUGCAGAUCGAGAUGGCCCAAGGGUAGAUCGUCAGCACCGCAGAGAGGAAUAUAUUGCUGGGCAUCGAGUUACCCUGGAAUCAGACCCAGAAUACUAUGAGGAGGACGAAGCUUCUGAUCAUAGCAGAGAAACUGUGGGACGAGAUCGAGGCCGAGGAAAUGGACGAGAUUAUGAUCCUCUACAUCAGCAGCUGCGUCACAUCAAAAUCCAGUAUCCUCCUUUCCAUGGAACUAAUGAUCCCGAAGCUUAUCUAGAUUGGGAAAGGAAGAUGGAGUCUAACUUUCUGGUCCAAGGAACUUACGAGCUCAACAGGGUGAAGAUCGCAGUGUCAGAAUUUCAUGGGUAUGCGCUUCUAUGGUGGGAACAGUUGGGAGUCACCAGAAAUCGCCUGAGGGAACUUCCGAUUACUACUUGGGAUCAGCUCGUUAUACAGAUGAGGAAGCGGUUCGUUCCGGCCCAUCAUCAGCGCAAAAUACUCAACAAGCUUAGGCGCCUCGUCCAAGGUACGAAGUCUGUUCGAGAUUACUAUCAGGAAUUGGAAACUUUGCUUAUUCGUGCAGAUUUACGAGAAGGAGAAGAGAUGGUAAUGUCGAGAUUUCUUGGAGGACUUAACCGAGAAAUUCAGGACAAGGUGGAACUUCAGGAUUUCGCAGAUAUACAAGAGAUGGUGCAUAAGGCUGAAUUGGUGGAAUCUCAAGUCAAGAGGCGAAAUUUCAAGUCCACAUUUACGCCUAGUGUGCCGAAGCCUAAGGAGAUCAGCAAGCCAGCUUACUCCAGAGACAUCAAACCACCCUCCAGUAGACUUAAAGAAGAAGCUAAAGCUGAGUUCAAACCAAGAAGUGGUACUUCUAUCAGCAAUGUGAGGUGUUUCAAAUGUCAAGGAAUGGGACAUUACUCUCGAGAUUGCCCAAACAAGAAGGUCUUCUUGUUACAAGAGGGAGGAGAGAUAGUUCCUCAAGAGGAUUCAGAGGCCGAAUAUGAAAUAGAGGAAGAGGAAGAAGCUGCUGUCGUGGGCGAGAUGCUGGUUGCCAAAAGGACUUUGAGUGUUCAGAGUCAACCUGAAGAGACUUGUCAGCGAGAGAACCUGUUUCAUACGAGAUGCUUCAUUCAAGGAAAAGUUUGCAGCCUGAUCAUAGAUGGAGGAAGUUGUACUAAUGCUGCAAGCGAAGAGAUGGUUAAGAAGCUCCAGCUCAAGACUAUUCCUCAUCCAAGACCGUAUAAGCUUCAGUGGUUGAAUGACAGUGGAGCCUUGACCGUAUCUCAGCAAGUGAUGGUUUCUCUAUCUAUUGGGAAGUAUGAAGCUGAGAUUCUAUGUGACGUCAUUCCCAUGGGUUCGAGUCAUGUGUUGCUAGGCAGACCGUGGCAAUCAGAUCGUAGGGUGAUACACGACGGUUACACCAACAAGCACUCAUUCGAGUUCAAAGGUCGCAAAAUUACCCUCCUACCUCUCACGCCUACUGAGAUUUACCAGGAUCAGAUCCUGAUGAAGCUCAAGGAGAAGGAGAAAGUCGCCAACAGCCUCUACAUAAACCACAGUGAAUUUUCUAAACUCUUUGAUCCUGAAAUGACUACUUUUAUGUUUGUGUACAAGGAAUCCCUUGUUAGUACUAACCCUUCACAGGAGCUUCCUAGUGCUAUGUUUGAGAUUUUGCAGGAAUACAAGGACGUUUUUCCAGUAGAAAUUCCACCAGGGCUACCUCCAAUUCGUGGGAUAGAGCAUCAGAUUGACUUGGUACCAGGAUCAGCCUUAGCUAACAGGCCAGCAUACCGAACCAAUCCUGUAGAGACUAAGGAGCUGCAGAAGCAAGUGGAAAAGCUGAUGAGCAAGGGACAUAUCCGAGAAAGCUUGAGUCCAUGUGCGGUUCCAGUUCUGUUGGUGCCAAAGAAAGAUGGUUCCUGGAGGAUGUGUGUAGACUGCCGAGCUAUCAACAACAUCACUGUGAAGUAUCGGCAUCCGAUUCCAAGACUAGAUGAUAUGCUGGAUGAGCUCUGUGGAUCGACAAUCUUCUCUAAGAUAGACUUGAAGAGUGGGUAUCAUCAGAUCAGAAUGAAGGAAGGGGAUGAAUGGAAGACGGCGUUCAAGACAAAGCAAGGACUCUACGAGUGGCUAGUUAUGCCGUUUGGUCUCACCAAUGCUCCCAGCACCUUCAUGAGAUUAAUGAACCAUGCCCUGAGACCAUUCAUUGGCGUGUUCGUAGUGGUUUAUUUCGACGAUAUCCUCAUCUACAGUAAAGGUUUGGAAGAACAUCUAGAUCACAUCAGAUCGGUUCUUGAUGUUCUUCGCUCUCAAUCUCUCUUUGCUAAUUUAUCUAAAUGUUCAUUCUGCACUAACGAAAUUGUUUUCUUAGGCUUUGUAGUAAGUGCAGGAGGAGUUAAAGUAAAUGAAGAGAAGAUAAAAGCUAUCAAGGAGUGGCCAACCCCCAAGAAUAUUGGAGAAGUCCGAAGUUUCCAUGGCUUAGCAGGAUUCUACAGGCGUUUUGUUCGUGAUUUCAGCACCAUAGCCGUGCUCUUAACAGAAGUGAUCAAGAAAGAUGUGGGGUUCAAGUGGGGAGAGGUGCAAGAACAGGCUUUUACAGCCCUUAAAGAGAAGCUUAUCAAUUCACCCUUACUAGUACUUCCUGAUUUUACUAAGACUUUUGAGAUUGAAUGCGAUGCUUCUGGUGUAGGUAUUAGAGCAGUUCUUAUGCAGGAUAAGAAGCCCGUCGCUUACUUCAGCGAAAAGUUAGGAGGUUCCACGUUGAAUUAUCCCACUUAUGACAAGGAGUUAUACGCAUUAGUUCGAGCUCUCCAGACAUGGCAGCAUUACCUAUGGCCUAAGGAAUUCGUAAUUCAUACCGAUCACGAGUCUCUAAAGCACCUCAAGGGUCAGCAGAAGCUUAACAAAAGACAUGGGCGAUGGAUGGAGUUCAUUGAGACAUUCUCCUACAUUGUUAAGUACAAAAAAGGUAAAGAUAAUGUGGUCGCAGACGCAUUAUCCCGGAGGUACACUCUUAUUUCGGCUUUAACAUCAAAGUUGAUUGGAUUUGAACACAUUAUAGAUCUUUAUGAAUCUGAUACUGACUUUUCUGAGAGCUAUGCCAUAUGUCAUAAGUUUGCCUGUGAGAAAUUUUAUAGACAGGAUAGAUACUUGUUCUUCAGUAACCGAUUGUGCAUACCACAAGGAUUUAUUCGAGAGUUACUGGUACGAGAAGCUCAUGGAGGUGGAUUAGCUGGACAUUUCGGUGUCACAAAGACACUUCUUGGGCUACAAGAGCACUUCUACUGGCCGAACAUGAAGAAAGACGUUGAGAAAAUCAGCUCUAGAUGUGUCGUAUGUAAGAUGGCUAAGAGUAAAGUUCAACCUCACGGUUUGUAUACUCCUUUGCCUAUUCCUUCUCAACCUUGGACUAAUAUCUCUAUGGAUUUUGUAGUUGGCUUACCUCGAACCAGAAAUGGUAGAGAUUCUAUUUUUGUAGUUGUUGACAGGUUUAGCAAGAUGGCCCACUUCAUCGCUAACCACAAGACAGAUGAUGCUGUGAAUGUAGCUAACUUGUUUUUCAGGGAAGUAGUAAGACUGCAUGGAAUGCCACAGGUUAUCGUUUCAGAUCGAGAUACGAAGUUCUUAGGACAUUUUUGGCAAACGCUUUGGGCUAAGCUGGGAACAAAGCUCUCAUUCUCAACUACGUGUCAUCCUCAGACCGAUGGACAGACCGAGGUGGUGAAUAGAACGUUGUCCACACUUCUAAGGACUUUGGUGAAAAGUAACCUCAAGACUUGGGAAGAGUGUCUGCCUCAUGUCGAGUUUGCUUACAAUCACGCUAAGCAUUCCGCUACUCUCUUUUCUCCUUUUGAAAUUGUAUAUGGGUUUAAUCCACAAUCACCUCUAGACUUGAUCCCUUUGCCUUUAAGUGGAAAAUGCAGUUUGAAUGGCAAGGAGAAAGCUGAACAGGUCCGAAGAAUACAUGCUAAGGCUAAGGAGAACAUCGAGAAGAAGACAAAGCAGUAUGAGAAGCAUGCCAACAAAGGACGAAAGGAGCUGAUUUUCGAAGAAGGAGAUCUGGUGUGGAUCCAUCUGAGGAAGGAGCGAUUUCCAGCUGAGCGAAAGAACAAGCUAAUGCCCAGAGUUGAUGGACCAUUCGCAGUCAUCAAAAGAAUCAACAACAACGCCUAUCAGAUUGAUCUUCAAGGUAAGUAUGAUGUUUCUGAUGCUUUCAAUGUUUCUGACUUGCUUCCUUAUGUUGCAGAUUCAGAUUUGAGGACAAAUCCUUUUCAAGAGGGAGAGGAUGAUAUGAUCGUGACCAGCUCAGAGGAGGAGGAACCAGAGGUAGCUGGCAGGAUCACUCGUUCCAGAGCUAGAGAGAUGGCUAAGGAGGCUCACACACUCAUUGCCACAGAGGACAGCGAUCACCAGGAGGCUGGAGCUCACAUCUUCAACAUCUCUAUCUUGAAGAAUGAAGAACCCAGUAACAAUGACUAGGUAACUUAGGUGAUGAUUUUGUACUCUUUUCCUUGGUGAAGAUUUUGGAAGGCAAGGAGGUUCUUCUCCAAGGUUUUUAACGAGGCAGAAAUCAUUGCUACGUCGAGUUACUUAGAAGUUGUUACUAAUGGGUAAUAACGUGCAAAGUCACAAUGACUUGUGCACUAGUUGUUUUAGGCGCACCACUUAGGAUUUAGAAGGAACGCCUCGCUGUUUUAUUUUUAAAUCAAACUUUGUGUUGUUUUUAUUUCAGACUUCAUGUAGUUAUGUAUUAGGGCUGCGAUUUUCUCUCUUACUCUAUAAAAUAGAGAAAAUCGCCUAUGUCAUAUUCAGUGAAGAAUUUUGAUCAAACUUUUAACGUGUUCUUCUCUCUUUGAUUUCUGAGAACUAAAAACUCUGAAAUUCGAAUCUCUUACAAACUAAUCUGUUUACAAGAGAUUCUUCUAUCCUUCAUCAUCAUCAAUUCGAAUAUCACACUACCACCACACUAUCAAUCGAUCAUCUCACCAUCACAAACCAUCGAUCCGAUCCACCAGCCACCAUCACCACUCCAUCGCAUCAUCGCUGCAUUCCAUCCACCACAUCGCCACGUCUAUUGCCUCUUGCUUCAGAGUAGACCACCUUGGAUCGUAUCACAUAUAAAGCCUUUACAAAACCAAACUCUACUCUCCCAAAGGUGAUAAAACAAGUCUUUGGUCACAACAAACAUGCUGCAAGAGAGCAAAUCCUAGCCUCACAAAUGGAGCAACACUUGGUUCCAGCGACAGAAACUGGGCAGAUGAUUCCUCUUCGCUUCAACGAAGGGAUGGUUCAUUAAUGAAAAACUCAUGACUACACCCACCUACAUUAUGGAACAAUUAAGUUGACGUUGACUCUACAUGGAAGAAAAAGUCUACCCGUUGUGGCGAGAGUUACCCUACUCGACACAAGAUAUAGAGAAUACCAGCACGCUUGCAUAACAACAAUUCAGACAGCCCUGAAUGCAGACACUGUAUUUGUCACUCUCUACCUAAACUUCAACAUAGCGCUUGAAGACCCUCAAAUAUACCAGAAUAUGAAAAUUCAACUACAAAUCACAGGUGCUCCUCAAGUUGGCAACACAUAUGUAGCAACACUCCACCAUCAGAUAGCGUAUAGGAUCCAAAACCAUGCUAUAGACCUCACACUCCCACGAGACGCAGGAGAUGUACUGCUCAUACAGCUAGAAUCUGAACACAAUCCAUCAUGCAUCCAUAUCCCCAGGCAAAUUCCUAGAGAAGCAUUAGUCAAAUUACUUCCAGAGUCAUGGGUGACAAAUUACAAAAAGCUUCAUGAAAGCAGUGUAUCGAUACAGUCCGUAGACUCUUCCAUCCACAGAAGAAAAGAUGGGGCAAUCGAGAUAUCUUUCAAACAACAAGAUGGUGAAAAGUCACAACAGCCAGCCUUUGCACUGAGAUAAAUGCAAUCUCUCCAGCCGAAGGAGUACAACCCCUGAAACAAUAUUUGCCUGGUGUUCCAAUAAAUUCUUUUAAUGCAGUUGGGGAUCCGAUAUAUGCAUUCUCAGACAAAACAUCUUACAAAUUAUUUGAUGUUUGUGAUUGUGACUAUUGCCUAAUAGAUAGCUAAGACGAAGAGAAAAACUCAAGGCGAAGAAAAAGAAGUCAUCCCAAAAAAUCCUCAAAGAACGAUACGAAUUUGGAGAUCCAGAAGUUAGCCUUCUUGGAGAACCUUUGAGGAAGAAGUUUGAAUACUAUAUCUUGUAUUCAAAUAGGUCAACUCCACCAAUUCCUGACAGUGAAGAUAUCCGCAUGUGUUCGUCCUCUCAAGAGCCAAUAUUUCCAACCCGAGAAUUCAAAGAAGGCAACAUCAAGCACUCAUGGAAAAUCAGAAAUCCGAAUGUUAAAAAUCCAGAUGGAACAGUGAAACAUGUUAGUGCAGCAGAAGCAACGUUAAAUUGGCUGUCAGAAAAUGCUAUGGUCCAAAACCACCUCCUAAGCCAAAUGAAAAAAAAGUAUUCAUUUUGGAUCACUCAAUUAAAGAAAUAAAGAAAAAAGAUAUUCUCUCUCCACCAAGAACUUUUGCAUCUGGCAAUUACUAUUUCCACAACUUUCCCACUUAUGUACCAAAAGGAAUCAGAGCUAAAAUCUCUUAAAGCUCAAUUAUAAUCGUUACAAAACCAGCCCAAAACACAGACACCAAUGCCAUAUGAUCUCUUUACACCUUAUCCUAUAUAUUCUCCACCUGCUAUGGUCUAAACACAAUCUCUCUCUUUUUCCCAAGACCCAAGUAUCUUGGUUCAUCCUCCUUCCUACCAACAAAGGUCAGAGAACAAAGUCUUGUGAAAAAGAAACACCCAACUGUUUCUAUAGAAACUCCAAAUAUUUCAGCACCAGAAAUAUGAAGACCACUUCUCCUGAGAAGGGUGAAGCACAGUUUAUGGUGGAACACACCAAAAAAUCAAAUCUCUACAUUUCUUGAGAAACUGGCAAAGAAAACAAAACUACUAAAGCAACAACGUUCUACAAAAAACCUGGUGCCACCACAAGAAAGCUCUGACGAGGAGUUCCUAAUUCCAAACUUUAUGAUGGCAUGACCAAAAGUAGAAGAAGAGGAUAUGGAAAGUGAUGACGGAAACAUAUAUGAAGACAGAAGAAAAUCUCAAAGACCCCACUCUUUACCAGACUGGAACCCAAGGAGCCACAUUGACUCACACAACAGUUUCUCUUUCGACAAUGUUUCCCCAUCAAAAUGGAGAGACAAAAUCUACGAGGUGCAUGCAUGGCUCACAGAACAGCUUCUCAGCUCAGGGGCUAUUUUUCAUACAGUAAUAGACAAGUUGGUCUCCAAAUUCCACGGUCGCUUCAGACAGUGGUGGAUUAGCUUGGGAGAUUACCGACAUCUACAGACCCGUCAACCUCCAAAAGUGGACACAUUGAUCAAACAUAUCCACAAUGAAUUUUUUUUGGCACAUGGAACCACUACACAAUUCAAGCAAGAGAAGAGUAUAUGAGCAUGAGCUGCUGUUCCUUCAAAAUAGUGUCCAAAUAAGAAGAAGAGAGAUAAUCUCCAUGGAUAUCUAUCCCAAAUUGAAGACCUCGACGACUCAGACGUGGAAUAUAUUUUCUCUUUUGAUGAUGAACCAACUGAUGAUACAGUCUUUGUAACGGGAAUUGAGCAAGAUGAUGAGUUCUCAGAAGAAUCUGAAAUUGAAGAAAAAGAAGAAGAUGCUAACGACCAAAUUCAUGUUUUUUGAUCUCUAAACCCUAGACUCCUGCAAAGUUGAAGGGUCAAAAGAAGCAGAUUUGGCGUACCUGUCCCAACCAGUGAUGUGGUGUGUGUUGUGGGUGUCAAGUUUUACCCUAAAUGAAAUCAAUAGCCGCAAGUGCACAGCUGAUCGAUUGUAGUACUUAGGGAUCGAAUCCACAGGGAAAGAGGAUCUUUUCCUGCAAAAAGCCUUUGAAAUAAGUAUAAAGUAAGGAAGUCUAGAACCAAACGGUUUUGUGGGGGUUUGGUAGUGUGUUUAAAAUGUAAAAAACGAAAUCUUAAAAGAAAGUACGGGAAUUAAAUAACCUAAUAACUAAACUUAACGAAAAUGAAUAAAAAUGAGUAAAACGGAUAAUUCUAAUUGCUUAAAUGAAAAUCUACUAAAAAGGAAAGACAAUAUUGAACUAAAGCUUGAAAUAAAAACGGUGUAAAUCAAUGGAAAGAAGGCGUUGGGCUUCAGGGAAGUUUUCUCAGGGGUACGAACGAUUCAAAACAUUGCUAGAGAGUAAAAUUGAUAAGAUCUUAGCUUAAACUUUUCGAACUGGAGUCACGGACGUAUGAAUACGCCACUGUCGUGAUCAUAGACAACUAUCUCUCUCAACCCUGACCAGUAGGUUUCCACUCUGGCCCUGGAAGAGAAGAGAUGCAUUAUGUUUAAGACUCGUCCUAAUCCACAAAUCGCCCAUAGGUAGGUUUCCACUCCUAUGUUUGUUUUGCUCUCCCAAACUAGAUCUGAUACCUGAUGAACACUUUCGUGUCACCAAGCAUCUGGAUCAGAUUGUAGUUCAUGACGCUACUCUCAUGCAGUAAAAACGAAUUCAGAAGAAAAAGUUCUAAGAUUCGGCUCAAAAGCUCAUGGAAUCCUCAUCGAACAUAUAAAUCCCCAUUGAAAAUCCCUUAAUCCCAACAAUAAAACUACUCAGACAUGAUGAACGAAAUCAAAGACAUAGUAUUAAUAAGUAGAAUAGAAACCGAAAUUGAAAAAGAAAGAACAAGGGUUCAAGAGAACAAAUCUCUCUCUCCCUAAAAGCUAAAGCAAAAACAAUAAAAAUAUGAAGUAAUGAUAGAUGGUAUUCGGUUCUACGAUUUAGGGUUCCUAAGACAUGUAUUUAUAGUGCUCAAGACCUCUCUGGACGUCACUUAGGGUUUCUCCAAAUGUGGGCUUCAGAAAUGGGCUUUUUGGGCUCGGAGGUUGAUGGCCGCUGUCGGGACAAGUGUGACCGCGGGGAAUGAGUGGUUUGCCGCGGUCGGGAUGCUCCUGACCGUGGGAAAUUGCUUGUUGGCCGCGGGUGGAAGUGUUUGCCGGCUGGUUUACGGGACAUCUUGCUCUUCGCGUAUUUUUUGAUUGAACCGUUGGAUUGCCAAGCUGUAAAGUGCACUGGAAAGCUGAUACUUCCAUCUUUAAGGUCUCCAAAUAUGAGCUGGAUCAGACGGUGAGAAGGCCUUCAAUCAUGGGUGAACUUCUGACGGUUUAACUCUGAGCUGAAAUCUGGUUUUCUAUCCAUUUUGUUAAGCUUUUCCCUAAGUUACCUGAAAAGAGUCUUGAAACUACAAAUACUAGAAAAACAUAAUAAAAGUACAUAAAAGAAAUUAAAAACAUAGAAAAAGUAUUUCAAAACGAUCCAUAAAAGUGGUCAAAAUACGGUGUUAUCAACCAGCUCCAAAUGCCAAGAUCUACAUCUUUCCUACCAAAUACGAUAAGCCUAUACCAGUUAUAGCUUUCUUUGAUACUUGAUCUGCGUCUUCAAUCAUCAAGCCAGAUAUACUCCCAUCAACCCAUUGGGAACGGUUUUUAGUGUCCUUCAAAGCAGCCAAUCGGCAGAUAUUCCAUAUCUCCCUCAUCAGUAAGCCCAUUCAUAUCCAAUUAUUCCCAGGAUAUAUGGUUAAAUUUAAAGUAUAUGGGUCUGAUCUUCUAGGAAAAGGCUUCAUACUUGGAUUUGAUAUCUUCCAUAGCCUUAAAAGAGUAUCUUGGCACCCAAAAAGCCUUAAACACAAAAACCACCUGUUACCAUGGACAACCAUUUCUCAUUUAUACUCUAUGGAAAUCCUGAACCCCAUCAAAGAAGAAAUUGCCAAAACCUCUUUGUGCCACUUCUCACUCAGAAUUCCUCACCAAAUAUUUCUCACCCCUUUGACAAAAUCCAGACUUCUUCAUAUCUUUACCAUUCAAGAAAAAUGAAGAUAUUUAUUCCACAAAGGCUAGUCAUCCAGGGAUGAACCCAGAUCAUUAUACUCUAGCGUUCGAAGAAGUAAACCUACUCCAAAAAGGUCUCAUCGAAAAAACAACUUCACCAUGGGCAUGCGGGGCUUUCUAUGUCAACAAAAGGGCAUAACAAGUUCGAGGAAAAUUGAGGUUAUUCAUUAACUACCAGCCACUCAAUCACUUCCUUGCUGAUGGCAAGUUUCCACUACCAAAACGGGAGGUCUUAUUCCAACGGCUCCCACAAGCACAAGUGUUCUCAAAGUUUGACUUAAAAGCGGGAUUUUGGCAAUUGGGAAUCAAGCCAGAUGAUAGACCCAAAACAGGUUUCUGCAUACCAGACUGUUAUUUCCAAUGGAAGGUUAUAUCAUUUGGAUUAAAGGUGGCCCCAUCGCUAUUUCAAAAGGCAAUGACCAAAAUAUUCGAGCCAAUACUUCCAAAUGUGCUGGUAUACAUCGAUGAUAUCCUUUUGUUCUCUCCGGAUAUCGACUCCCAUACCCGGCUACUGGAGAAAUUUCACAAGAUUGUACAACAGUAUGGCAUCAUGCUCUCCGAAAAAGAUGGCUAUUGGAGAAAUAGAGAUAGAUUUUCUUGGCAUGCAUAUCUCAAAAGGACAAUACCAUCUACAGCCUCAUAUUGAAACACAGCUCAAAGAAUAUCCAGAUGACAAACUCUCUUUCAAACAAGUCCAACAAUUCCUUGGAGUUGUCAACUACAUGGUGGAGUUCAUUCAUGGCUUAGAAAAGUACAGGUCAAUCCUCUCAACACAGCUAAAGAAAGAUGCUCUUCCAUGGGACAAAAAAUGUACAGAAGCAGUAAAAGAGCUUAAAUGGAUCUCAAAGACCUUUCCCUCAUUGAAGAUCUCAUCUAAAGGGAAAAGAAUCUUACAAACCGAUGCAAGAAACUGCUACUGGGGUGAUGUUAUCUUAGAAGAAGACGAAAAAAGAAAGAGAAGCAUUUGCGGAUACAAAAGUGGCGUUUUCAAAGACAGUGAAAAACACUACCAUUCUACCUACAAAGAGAUACUUGCAGUCAAGAGAGACAUAGAGAAGUUCGAGCUCCACCUAGUCGGACAAUACUUCCUCAUUGAAAUGGACAUGUCCUCAUUUCCGAAGAUGAUUUUGUUCAAGCAAAAGAUCUUGCCACACACACAAUUACUUAGAUGGGCAAGUUGGUUUUCACUGUGGAAGUUUGACGUGAAGCACAUCAAAGGAAAAGACAAUUUCCUCCCAGACUUCCUAUCCAAAACACAGAGGUAAAUUUCAAUUGUCAUACUAAUGAUAUACACUUUCACUCCAACAGAAGAGUCCUUAAGGAACAUGAUUGCAAAUAUGCUACAAGGAAUACAAGAAAAGAUUCUAGAGACUGCUCUAGUCUGUCAAGGAGUUGACAAGCUUCAUGGAUUCUUGAAGCUUUAUGUCUUCAGGUAUGGUCUAGACCAAGGCCCACUCCUCCAGUUACCUUAUCACCUUGUAUUUCUCUUCCUCACUACCAUAGACUUAAACCCAGCUCACUAUGGUAAAUUUUUGGAGGAGACAUAUUUCCUGUUGUGAUACCUAGUAGAAUUGUACACCAUUAGAGUACUUAUUGACAAAAGCCGAUUAAUUCAGUAUCUGGAAAAGUGCAUUCUGACAAGAAGGAACACUACAAGUUGUUGUAUAAGUGGCUCACCUUGUUUCAUGAAGUCACAUGGUGGCAAAAGAAUAUUCGAGCACAAGAAGGAUACAAAGUCUUAGUCACAUUCAAUAUCAUCACAAAGCAAGAGCAACAAGAAAACAAUGUCAUCAUUCAGAAAGAGUACAAAGCCCAGGUCCGGAUAAGCUACAAUGAUGAUGCUUUUGAUGGAGACAAUUUUCACAAAAGAACAAGAAACUUGGCAGAGAUAAAUCACAUUUCUGACAGUGAAGAAGACGAAGACUCAGACUUUGGAUAAGAGAGAAUCUACCUCUCUUUUGGAGACAAGAGGAAUAAAUAAUUAUGCACAUGUUGAAUAAGUUAAGAAUAAAUAAUUAUGCAUGAGAGUAAGUUAGGUAUCCAUGUGUGUAAUAGCUCUAAGUUAGGUAUCCACGUGUGUAAUAGCUCUAAGUUAGAUAUCCAUGUGUAAUUCCAUCACUAUAAAUAAGAGGUUUGGGUGCUUGCAUAAACCAAGCUAAAUCCUGUAAUCGAGUCUAAGAGAAAGCUUGAGAAUCUUUGUAAUCUGUGAGUAUUCGAUAUAAAUAAAAUAUUUCUCUUUGUAUAGUUAUCUCUUCCACUCUUUAAAUAAUUUUUUAUAUUUUUGAUCCUUCAAAACCUUGUUCGUGAUUGUAUCUAUUAUGUGUUUGUAAAUUUGGAAUUUGAUACCAUCUUUUGGAAUCCAAUAAUGUGAUGUCAUCUUCUUAUAAUUAGAUCUGAUAUUUUGAUUAGGUCAAUUUUUUUAUUUGUCUUUUUUAUUUGCCAUUGUUCUUAAUAAGCCUGGAAUUUGUAAUUUUGUCUGUUUUUAUCUAAACCAUAAUUUGUUAAAAUCUCUAAACACAUUUGCUUCUCUACUUUUUAAUUUUUUUUUUCAUAUUUUUAAAUUUUUGUUUUCAUUUGCAAUUGAUGCAAAGUACUCCGAUUUGAAUGAAACUCGAGUUAAAAAACAAUAUAAAUACUUUUUUAUUCCAAAGAAUCGAUCUUAUUACUUCUAUUUCAAAUAAAUAAGACACUAAACACUCUUUAAACCCAUAACAUUUUCAUACAAGACUCGAUACCUUUACACUUCUUGUGACGCCGUCGACGAGUCGUCCAUAUAAAGAAUAGAUUGUAUGUUUUAGCUUCUUCAUUCCUUGAAAGAAUUCAACCAAUUCUGAAACCAUAAAAUAGUUCGAAAUUUACACAAUAUUUUGAGUAUAAUUGAUUAUUUAGAUAGUAGUUUCUUUACCAAGAAUAAGACGUAACCGAAGGUAGCUCAUCCACAUUACAGAUCCAGAGAUCAUCGAAUUCUCGACAAAAUCUGAAACAAGCAAAAGCAAAAACUAAGUUUUAACUUCAAAAUUGUCAAAUUGAAAGACUCAACACAGCUUGCCUUUUGUAAACAGAAUAACUUCAAAUUAGCAAUAAUCCACAAUUCGAGUUACCUGGUUCAUAAGUCGGGUUGUAACCAAGCCCAUAUACUGCAUAUUUGGCAUAAGCGAGUAGUCUCACACGUUUUGGUGAAUCUAACUUCAAAGUGAUUGACCGUAUGAGUCCACUGUUACAGAGCAAAACAAAUAAUGAAGCCAUUGAUAAACUAACUCUUUCAGUUUCAAUUACUAAUAAAACCGAGGAUCGAAGAUUGUACUCUGUUCGCAAUACGGUUAGAAAGUCAGAUGGAAGAGACCCCAUGAAUGUUGUUACGUCUUCUAAGUUCAAAAGCUUCAGCUCCUGUUUUAGAUUUUGCCUCUCUUGUAUAGACAUUCCUUUUCCCAAUCCUGAUUUGCUAUCACCAAGAAGAGGAAGAAACAAACAAGGAUAAGACUUCUUGCAUGUGAAAAUGCCAUUUUUACUGUAAGAUGAUGUAGGGAGAGAAAGUACACACACCUUUCACUAGUUCUUCCGGUGAAAAUGACAGGGAAGAAUUUGGCAUAUUUGCCAACACCAAACUGUUUCCCUAAUUCCUGUAUUUUGUUUGAGUCUAGAAGAAUCAAAGCCUCCCAUAACCGACAAAAGUCCCGUCUAAAUCCUUCAUCCAAUGUUUUACAGUUCCCGUGGUCUAGCAGAACUUUUCAACAAAAAGAAGAAGAUUAAACCUUCUAUGAUUAAGAACCAGUCAGAGGUCAAGAGUAGAAUCACAGAACACAUAAAAUUACCUAGAGAGAAGCCAUUCUUGCCUACAGGAGAAACAAGUAUAUUUCCAGGAUGUGGAUCGCCAUGUAUGAAUCCAUGAACAAAUAUCAUUUCAGCAAACACUUCAACCAACACUUUAGCAACCUAUAAUAAUAUGGGAACAAACUAUUAUACUUCUGGAUUGGAUUUCUUAAAUCAGACAUAUUGUUGGCAAUAAAAUGCACUAUGCAUAAGAAGUCUUUACCAACCUUUGCUGGACUUAGAUUAGUGCUCUUGAGGGACUCCACAUCAUCAACCUGGAAUCUAAGGAAGUUCGAGUUGGUUGAAAACAUACAAGAAAAAUAGCACUUCCAAGAAGCUGCAUGAAGAUCUAUAAGAGUGGAUAAUAUAUAAAAUACAGUGUUGCUUUACAAAAGAAACUCAAAGAGGUCCCUAGCAUGGAAAAUGUAUCCUAGAUGCAAAUCAAAAGCAAAAGCUUCCAGUACCAUCUCGUCUCUAGCUUUUCUAACAAUUUAACUCGUUUGAGAUAGCUUUCAUCUUCAGUCUCCACGUAUCUUUUCAUUCAAUAACGAGUAAACCAAGAUUGCCAAGAUGAAGAAAGAAAAUGCCAACUCUGUAUAUCUACAGUUUUCGUUUAGUGGGUAACAGAUAUAAACCUUGCAUAUGAUUAACUGUGUUGAACGUCAUUACCUUGAAACCCUUGCAGAACUGCAUUGUCAGGACUUGAGUGGUUGUGAACUCCUGAAUAUUAAGAAAACGGCAUCUAAAACUAAUCAAAGACCAUGCAAUCAACGAUACUUUUAAAGUUAUGAAAAUUCUUCAGUCAUACCCAAAACACUGUAGGAACAGUAAUCAUUUUGUUAUGUUUGAAGUUUUUGGCAAUUCUCUCUGAAUUUUUUGCCUCCUGGAUAAAAUCUGUGCACAAGAAAAAUAAUCCAGAAAUGAAUCAUCAGAUUCACUAUCCACACUACCAAGCAGAUCUAAACUUUUCGAGAAAUAAUGUGAUGAAUAAAACACAAACACAUGGACACGAUGCGGUUACUGACCAAGUUCUUGGGAAAUUGACUUCACGAAUUCAUAAACCAGCCAGUCAAAUCUGUAUUCUGGAAAAAUCUGCAAAGUAAAUAAAAAGGACUCUAAGAAACUCUAAGAGGCUGCAUAUAAUACACAGUCUAUAUAUAAUCAAAUAUGCAAACACAGUUCAUGUAACUGCAUCACUGAUCUCAACUCACACUUUCCACAAGAACAAAUGCUAGGGUCACAAUCACCGCAAAACUAAUGAAGUAAAAGAACGAAGUCCUUGUAAUUUGAGCAUGCACAACAUUUUCCAACAUCUAGCUCUUAAGUACUUCCCAAGGUUUUCGCAAGGCAAAAAAAAAAAAAGUUUUCGCAAGGCAGCAUAAACUACUGCAGGACACUGGAAUAAUAAUUAUACGCACCAGCAGUUCCUUUCAGCCUUACAUGAAAAAGUCUACAGUUUAUCAUCAAAAUUCCAUUGCCAUCAAAUUUCAGAAUUCUAGAUCAGUCAUAUGUAUAUCCUUCAUUUCAUAUUAUUUGAACAGCUUGUAAGAAAAGAGAGGCAAAAAUAUAAUGUUACAAGGAAUUAGAUGCACCUUGACGACUGAUUUUGAAAGGAAAGACAUGAUCAUUGUAUCUAACUUCAUGUUCUGCUUCAAUCCAGGGUAUUGCACCUAUUUCAAUCACACCAAAAAGAACCACAAAGAUUGAGAACUUGGCGAAUAAGAUAUCAUCAUCAAGAAGACUGAUGUAUGCCCCCAUUUAAGUCUUAAGAAGCAUCAUCAUAAAUAAAGAUGAACAGUAGAAAGAGAAAAGAAUUAUUAAUGACCAAUCUAACAAGUAUCCCAAGUGAAUGAUGAAACAUGAUCAAGUGUUACUGAAAAGAACAUAACGAAAUCAAAACAUUUAUCAUUGCGAGGAGUCAACCUUAACUGCUACUUCCUGAUGAUUCUUCAAUACAGCAUGAUGUACUUGAGCAAUAGAUGCAGCCGCAAUCGGCUCCUCAUCAAAAGAUAAAAAUCUGACAUUUCAACUGAGGGAUGUUAUAAAUGUGCCUUGACGCUCACUUUAUAUCAGUGUAAACACAGAUAGGUUUGGAAUAACUCUUACAUCUCUGUGAGGUCUUGACCCAAAUUGGUUGUGAGAACGUGUUUUACUUCUUGGAAAUUACAAGGAACUGCCUUCAUUCAUAAACAAAGUAGAGAUAGAACAAACAAUUAGAAUCAUAAUCUGUAUUUCUGGUGAAAACAAUACAUUCAUAUUCAUCAAAAGACGGAAAACCAUUUAAGUAAAACACAUAGAAACUUAAUCAUAGUAAUAGUAUUCACACCUGGUCUUGCAACGAGGAAAGGGCCAAAGAAUACUCUUUCGGAACAAGCUUCAACGUAGCCACAAACUGACCAGCUUUCACAUAGAAACCUUUAUUACUCUCACACAGUUUAAGAAUUCGUCUCGCAGACCGCGAAUGAACCUACGAAAUGAUUAAACCGACAUACAAAUAAUCAAUGUGUAAGAUGUAUAAAUCACAGGCAGAGCAAGCAAUCAUAUCAUAACUCUUAACAAUUAAAAAAAGCUAAAUUCCACAAAUUAUAACUUCCAUUCCACAAUCACGAAUAAUUUAGAUCAGUCUGUAAUGGAAAUUACAAUCAAAGUAUAUUUGCCUAAAGCUAUUGAUGACUACAAUCCCAUGAAACAAACUUAACAUUGCAAUAUUUGAUUAUUAAGAGUUGAAAAAGUUAUCAUGAAGUGUAAGAAUCAGUAUCUACGGAGGCAAAUCGGGAAACGCAAUAAACUGAAAAAGAAACCUCUGUUAAUCUCUGAAGAUACUCAUCGGAAUCCACCGGGAAUCCACGCAAAUUAUACUUGUAAUCGGCGACGGUGAGAGUGAUCUGCAAGUAGGGAGAACAAAGAGAAUGACUGAAAUUGGAAUGAGAAGAAUCGUAAACCAAAUAGAGAUAAGAAAAACACGAACGGCAUAGAUAGCUCGAGAAGAACGGACGACGCCUUCCACCGCCGUCGCGAUUUUGUUUGGAUGAUGAACGGAAGGAGAGUCCCGGAAAACAGAGACGGCGGUGGCGCCGCCAGUGACGGCGGUAAGAGCUAGGCCGGUGACUGUGAAAACAAAGAUCGGCGACUUGGAUCUCGCGGGAAAUUUGAACUUGCGGAGAAUCUCCAUUUUUGUGGGAUUCGUCGGGUUUUGGUGUCUCCCGAGAAAUCGGAGGAGAAGACGAAAGCUUGUAAGUUCUGUGAUUACUGUCAAAUCGGGUCGGAUCAAUCCGACAAAUAGAAUGGGCCAAGAAGGUAGGCCCAUUAUGGGUUUACUGUACGAGUACACUAUUUGUACACACUUUGCAUCAAUCCAGCAAAUCGAAAAGCGCUGAUCCUCGGGAGGAGAUAUCAGAGGGGGAGGGGAGUUAUCGAUCUGCCUUCGGUGACGUUGUAAUCAUUGGGUUGGUUUGCGAUUCUCUAACUUUCUGCUUCCACUUUUUCAUGGAGUAAAGUAUCUUCCGGGAAAAUUUUUUUUCCGUUGAAGAUUUUGUCGUUCUUUGCUUUCCAAAUAAACCAUAGGAUCCAAAGAUAUACAUCUUUUUGAGGAUCUGUCAUGUCUAUCUCUUUUGUUUUCCAAAAGAGAAAACUCAUAUUUUAAUAAAUAAAGGUACUCGUGAAAAAACCCGGAAGAGACGAAAAGUCUGAUAACGUCCAGACUUGUAAGGCCAGUGAGCAUAAAAACAGUAGAUGGUUUAUGGAUAGUUUUAAUACUCAAAACACUUUUUACUUUUCUUUUAAUCCUUGUAAUUUUGUACUUCUUGGAAAUAGUUUUAAUAAUUUUUUUUCUACUUUUAUUUUAAUCCAUAUAAUUAAAUAGUUCAAUUAUAUAAUUAUCAAUAUAAUUAUAUCCUAUAAACUGAUUAAACAUAAAAUAAAAUUAUUAAUAUAAAAUAAAUAUUAUACAGUUUUUAAAAUUAAUUUCACAUAAAAUAACAUUACAUUGAGAAGCUUAAACACAAAUUUAAAAUCACACAACAAUAACAAAUAUUUUACAUGAAAAUAAAAUUACAUAAAAAAAUAAAUAUUACACAAAUUAGAAUUUAUACUAUAAUAUUAAUAAUCGGGUAAAUUUAAUCUUGAACCUCCAAAAUCACCAAAACAUUGUCCAUAAAUAUUUGGUGCAUUUUGAGGUUGUUGUCGUUCUUGAGUUCUCUUUUGUAUAAUUUUUGUUUGUUCAGCUCGAAUGAACUCACGUGUAUUAGUAUCAUCGAUAGAAUUCAAAUCUUAUAAGUAAUCUUAUAAAUCCUUAUAAGUAAAUUUAUAAACCCUUAUAAGUAAUCUUAGAAACCCUUAUAAGCUUAUCUAGCAUUCUUCUCUAGUAUGAGAUAUAUGUGAUAAGAUAUUAGCAUGAUUUUAAUCUAAGAUCUGCUGUAAUAUUUCAUGUAAUAUUUUGUUUAAUGUAUGUUGUAUAUAUAUUUAUGAAAGUUUUAUCAUUAUUAUCAAUUAUUAUUUAUAUUGAGGACUGUAAUGCAAUUUAUAAAUUCUAUUAAAGGGUAGAUUUAAGGUUUUACCAUGAGAGCAAAAUACCUUCAAAUCCUUAUUUUGAGGUUUUACCACUCUUAAAAUGAGGUUUUGGAUUGGAGAUGCUCUAAGACGUAUUUCCUACUCAUAUAUAGGAACAAAUCCAACCAAAAUUUUGACAUUGUCGUAGAUCUUCCUAUUAUGAAAGUUUAAAAUGGAUUUUCCCCCAAUUCAAAAAUUCAAAACAUAUUUACCACUAACUGUUGGUUUGAUGGUUUAUGAACUUAACCUAAUACAAAACUAUUUUAAUUGAUACAAGACCAAAUUAAAAAUCCAACCAAACUGAAAUCUGAUCCAUAUACCCGAUCUGAUCCGUUUUCUUUCUUUUUCUUCUCGACCCCUUCCGAUCUUGGGUCUGAGAAUCCUCCUAGCUGAGAUGGUUAUUUCGUUGUUUAAAGCUCUCGUUUUUUCUUGUCAAUUUAGUUGAAAUCGAGAUGGGUUUAUCUAAUUGUGUCUUGGCAUCUUUAAUUUGAUGUAGUUCCCAUUGCUCGGGCUUCUUGAGAAGCUAAUCGAUGAGUCCUCAACUGAUGAUGGAUCGAGCUUACUGCUUUCAAUUGUCAUCGUACUUACUACUUUCAAUGUUGUUAGCCGGAUGAUCUCUAAUAUUUUUUCAAAACUCAAUUGGUAAUUUUUAUUAGGGAGAAAAAUUGUCAUCGAAUAUAGAAAAAGAAAGAAGAGACCAGAAAUAUUUAACCUAAUGAAAAUAUUCUUCUCAUUUUCUCUCUCACUCUGAUUCAUCUUUAAUUCAGUAUCUUCGAGAUAACUUUUUUCCCUAAUAGUCAUUUUCUAGCCUGAGAUUAGCCAAUUUUCAGGUUCACAUAGAACUCCUAGAUCAAACUUUUACUCUAAUUAUUUUCUUUCUUAGAUUUUGAUUCAUGGUGUUGUAUGUGAUGAAAAUGCGGAAGGACUAUCGAGUGAAUAUUAACAGCAGUGAGUGCAUAUAUGCUCUCCAACACCUUCAUUAGAUUUUCAUGAUUAAGAUGAUGUAAAUGCUAAUUCAUAUGCAAUCUAAUCAUAUUCUCAUUAUAGAAUAAGAUGAAUGUUUUUAGUUUUUUUUCUGGGAUUAUGAAAGCCUGAAAUGCAUUAAAAAAAUCAAAUAUAAAAGAAAUAAAAAUGAAAGAAAAACAUACCAAUUGGGUUGCCUCCCAUCAAGCGUUUUUGUUUAGAGUCUUUUAGCUAGACUCUUUGUGGGAUAAAGAUCGAGAAGAAGAAGAAUGAUCUCUUGGAAUAAGAGUCCUUGGAAUCCUCUUGAGCUUGAACUUUGGAUCUCCAUCAUCUUGAAUCACAAUCUCUUUUCCUCUCUUAAAGAUUUUUGCAUCCUUGAGGACAUGUUUUGUCUUCUCCACAAUUCCUUCAAGGUUUUCUUCCUUCUUCUUGCUGAUGUCUGGUGGUAUCAUUAUCUUGAUCUUUGCAAACUACUUUGAUGCAAGUGCUUUUAGUUCUUUCUUGUCUUCCAAAACUUUCUCCUUGAGCUUGUCCUUGCGGAUUGGAGCUUGAUCCGGUGUAGUUCUGUAGAACUUUUUCCUGUCCACAUUUAAGAAAACUAAACAACGAUUUGCAUGGUCAAUGAUAGCACCUACAGUUGCUAAGAAUGGGCGACCAAAUAUCAAAGGUCUUUCUUUUUUCUGGUCCAUCUCUAAGACUUGGAAAUCAGCUGGAAUGAUCUUAUCUCCAAUGACCAAUGGCAGGUUCUGAAUCAUUCCUCCUGUUCUCUUUUGAGAUGAAUCGCCAAAGACUAUCCUUACGGGAGAUGGGACAAGUGUUCUUAUACAACGUCUCUCAGCAACAUAUUUUGACAUAAUGUUCACAUUAGCAUCGGAGUCACACAAACAAUCUGAAAAUUCAAUUCCAGAAAUAGAGCAAGUGAAAGAAAAACGCCCUGGAUCCUUAGACUUUUUGAGUCUUUGGACAGGUAAACGCUUUGUUACCUUAACCAAAAUGUUCUGACCUACUUCAUACUCGGUUUUUGAAUCUUUCAUGAGGGUUUCGUGGCUUGACUUCUCCUUAGAGUCUGCGCCUGGUUCUUCUUCAGGGACUGCUGUCAUAGCAUUGCAAAACUUCUUUGGAUUAUCCUCCACUCUUCCUGGAAAAACUUCUGGCUGCCUUCUCAUAGAAUCUGUAGUCUGACCUAUGUGUAGUUCCAACUUCUUGACAUGAGUUGCAAGAGAUUCAAACUUCUCAUUCAAGUCAUUGUACAUACAAUCGAUCCUUACUCCAAUCUCUCUAAAUGAUUUCUCAUUGCUCUGAGAUGUCUGCAUCACGUUUUGUUCAAGCGACUUCACUUGAUUGCUCAGCUGAGAGAGGGUUGCUUCUAAUGAGCUGGUCUGCGGUUGUUGAGGACUGAAAUGUGGUAUUGAUGGAAAUUUCCUCCUCUAUAGUUCCCGUUUUGGAACUUGUUUGGAAAUUUCCUCUGCUGCUGCGGAUAGGGCUGGUUCUGGGGGUUCUCAGCUCCUUGACUUCGGUACGAAAGAUUGUUGAAGUUGGCAUUCCUGAAAUUAUGGUUGAAAGCCAGAUUGAAUCGGUUCUGAUAUGUCCCUUGUGCUCUAACAAAAUUCACUUCCUCUUCUUGAAUUUAUGCCAUCAUCUUCAUAUCCUCCAUCUUCUUCAUUACCUACAGCAGUAUCACAAGCAUGUAUAUUCUUAUUUUGAGAUUUAAGAAGUUGACUUACCAUGCUUUUUAGCUCAACAAUCUCCCUUGACUCAUGACUAAUGAUAGUCUUCUUUGAUUUGUCAUACUCAGGAUUGUUUUUGCUAUUAGCUAUAUAGCUAGAUGUUUGAUGAAUGCUCUCCCUUGUGUCAUAGUAUUUGAAUCGAAAUCUCCAUUGCUGGCAGUGUCAAGAGAAAAUUGAUACUUCUGCUGAAGUCCUCUGUAGAAGGUGCUUAGUAGGUUUGCUCCAGAGAAACCAUGAUGAGGGCAGUAUCUCUUAUACUCCUUGAAUCGUUCCCAUGCCUCGUAGAAUGAUUCGACAGGGCCUUGUUGGAAACUUUGGAUCUUGUUUCUCAGCUGGUUUGAUGUUGACUUGGUGUAAAAGUGGUUCAGAAAGGCUGAUUUGCAUUCUUCCCAUGAGGUAAUAGAGCCAGAUGGCAUAGACUUUAACCACCUAAAUGCUUUAUCACUUAAAGAGAAGGGGAAAAGCUUACACUUCACAUAAUCUGUAGAACCUGGAGUGGUUCUCACCAUGCCACAGAUUUCUUAAAAAAUAUCUGUGUGAUGUAUAGGAUGCUCAGUCGAGGUUCCAUGGAAAUGAUUUUGCUUCAUCAGGGAGACAAUCUGAGGUUUUAUCUCGAAAUCACUCCUUGCUGGCACAUGUACUUGAAUAGCUGAUCUAUUUUGAAAGUGUUGGUGAUGUGCAUCAAAAUUGGCAAUAAUAAGUCUAUUGCGACACUGUCUUCUCGCAGGAUUGACAAGUUGUAUGGGUCGAUUUCCUCCUCUUUCAUUAGGUGGAACAAUGUUUUCAUUAUCCCUUUGCUUUUCAGGAUCGGCCUGGUCUUGUCUCCUUUGGUUAUCAGCAGCACUUCUAGGGAGUUGAUUUCCCUCUCCAUCUAGUUGUGGCUGGCCAUCUGCUUCAUGAGCAGCCUCUCAGUCAUCAUGAAUAGAAUCGCGAUCAUCAUCAUCUCCGUUGUGACCAUCUUGAUCACGAUUUAAAGGAUUUUCCCGAUGGGCGUUUGGAUCGGCCAUCUUGAGCGUUAUUAGUCUGAGUCUCUGAAGUUCUCUUUCGUGUUUGUCGAUCUCGUCUAGGAGCGGUAUAAUGUUGGCAGGAUUUCUCCUUGUGUUCAUGCACCUGAGCGCAAAGAAAGCAAAGAUAAAAAGAGAAGUUAGGAAAUCUCCAGCAGAACUCGAAAAUCUUGUGGUCUAGAAUUGAAAUUAGAUUAAGGGGGUGUUAUUCAAUCAUGGUUUUUAAUAGAGUUUAAAUCCAUCUAUAAUCCAUUGUUAUUCAAUAAUUGAUUUUGAUUUCUCCUUCAAAAUCCAAUGUUAUUGGUUCAUGUAUUUACAAUCUCUUCAUUAAUAGAGUUUGAAAUCCAUUGUUAUUCAAUUAAAGAGUUGAAUAAGUCAAUUAAAAUCUUAUGUUAUUCAUGUUUAACAGAUUCUGACAACUGAUUUUAAGUGAAAGAUUUUAACUGAAUUUGAACCUAUUUUUAUGUGUUAAAUAUAGCAAUCAAAAUCUAACCUUUUACCCUCAGAUUUUGAUAAUUAUAAAAUUCAACACAAAUAUUUAUUAACAUUUGUUUUUCUUUCUUCCCUCCAUAUAUUAAUCCAUCGAAUACAUCAUUUUUCAUCCUUCCAAUUUUUUUUCUUUUCCCUUCAUUUUGUCUUUUCAUUCUUCAUACGUCUUCCUUUUCCCUAGUCCAUUUCUCUCACCCUUCUCUCUUUCCAUAAGUCAACAAACCAUUUAUUAUUUAUUAUGAAAACUCAAUUUCUCACUAUUCUCUCUUUUCUUUAGCACAUAUUUCUCUCUCUUCUCUUUCUCCAUAAGUCAUCAAAGAAAAAGUAAUAUCUUUCUGGAUUAGCAAUUGUUCUGAUUUUUGUUUUGAUUAUUUAAUUUCUUUGCCAUGUUUAUAGAGACUAGUGAUAUUUUUUACUUCGAUGAAAUUUUUUGAAAAUUAUUUUCUAUUAGAUUUUAAAUGAUAGCAUGUGACUUUCUAAAUACACUGCUAAGUAAUUUAAAAUUUUAAAUAACUCAUAUACUUUAGAUUCUAAAUGAAUUCAAAAAUUUCAAAUCUGAUCUACUCUAAUCUAGUGGAGUUGAUUUCAACAUACAGAUUGAAUAACACCCCCUAAAAGAAAUAAAAUUAACAGCAGACAAAUCCUUGGCAACGGCGCCAAAAACUUGAUGUGGGUGCAGUGGCAACUACAAGUUUUACCCUAAACACAGCUGCAAGUGCACAACAAACGCAGUAGUAUUUAGGGAUCAAAUCCACAGGGAUUUGUGUGUUGAGGACUCCUAACUGAUGCUAAAAUCAAUUGUAGACCUAAUCAGAUUAAAAAGGGGUUUUAGUUGUCACUGAAUCUAAAUAACUAAGCAGAGAAUUAAAAAGCUUGAAAUAAAAUCGACUGAAAACUAUAUGAAAAAACGAUGCUGGGUUUAGAGUUCAUCUCUAGGAUUCAUGAUCUACGACACAGAAAUAUAGGUAAAGAUUUUCUAUGAUUCUGACACAAGGAUAGACACUUAUAAGAUUAGCUAACUCUCGUCACCCUAAUCAUCUAAUCACUUAAUCUCGGCAAUUAACUCUCGCUCUCAUGCCGAAAUAAGAUUAUGCAAUUCAGAUCGGAAUCCAUCUCGGCUUACGUAACCCCCGUAGGUAGCUUUCGUCACUUACGACGGGGACGUCCAUAACAUCCAGUUCAGGUAACCCAGAUACAACACUCUCGUGGCUCGGAUUCAACCUUGGAUCGGACUCUGGGUGAUCAAUCCAGAGAACCGCUUUAAGACUGGGAUGAAUGGGAGAAUCAUUUAAAAACUGAAAUCCUUUAACCUAAAAACUUAGGUGUCAUUCGAACGUGGGAUCCCCUUUGAUGGUCCCUUAACCCAACAAGGUGACUAUUCAGAUAUGGCUGAGUUUGACAUCAUCAUUGGUUUAAGAAUGAAAAAGCAAUAAAAUAAAGAAACAAAAGAUGCAGAAAAACUUCUCUGAUUGAAAACAGUGUUGGCGAUGAAAAGCUUAUACAAUUGCAUAAAAGUAAAACCUAAAACUAAAUGAAGUUCUUUCUGAAAGAGAUGAAAGAGGAUUGGCUACAAAAAACCUAAAAAUGAGUAUUGAUAGUGUUUUCUCUCUUCUGGGCGUCUAGGGCUUGUAAAAUGAGUGCAUAAAGUGUCUUGGGCCUUAGUUGGACUUCUGAGGUUCGGAUAGAGGUCCACCACGGUGAAGAGGGCUGAACCGCGGUGGAGAGGUGUUUUGCCGCGGGUGAAAACUCCUGUCUCUUCCUGCACUGUGUUGAUUGGCCUUCAGUGCAUUAAUGAUAUCUAGAGAUCUAACAGUUAGAUUGCAUUGAUUCUAAGUGUAUUGGAAAGCUGAUUGUCUCUUCUAUAAUGUUUCCAAAUUUGGGGAUGAUCAGGUGAAAAUGUCUUAUUUGGUUGCCAAAAUUCUGACGGCAUAAAUUUAUCCAAAAAUGUACUUUUGCUCCAAAAUGCACUCCAAGAAUCCAAGUUUCCUGAAAAGUUUUUUAAAAACUCUAAAAAAUGGAAAACACUUCAAAAACCCUUAAAACUGAGUGAAAACACGUGCAUAAGAUAUUGAAAGUGAUCCAUAAAAAUGAUCAAAAUCAGGUGUUAUCAUAUGUUUCAAAAUUUGGUUCAAAAUCAAUGCAAUACACAUAUUGGAACCUUUCAAUGUGACGGGGGUGGUGAAUUCACAAGCACAAAUUUCUUGGAUCACCUUUGUCAACAUGAGAUUCAACAAUACAUUUGUUGCCUAUACACAUCCCAAUAAAAUGGCUUGGCAGAAAGGAAACAUAGAUAUAUCACUGAACUUGGCCUCUCCUUGAUGUUUCUUGAUGUUUCACAGCAAGCUUCCUCAAAAGUAUUGGGUUGAGGCGUUCUUCACAGCUAAUUUUCUGAGUAAUCUUCUUCCUCAUGGGCUCGCAGCCAAUCCUCAAAGUCCUUAUGAGCUAUUACAUGGCACCACUCCUACUAUUCCUCUUUGCGAGUAUUCGGUUGUGCCUGUUAUCGUUGUUUACUUCCUAUAACCGGUCGUGACUAUAUAAGCCGAUAUGUUAUCUUUUCUGAAUGCAACUUCCCUUUCUCUAACCAACAUCGCCAUUUUCAACCAAAAACCAUUACACUAUUAAUCUCUGGUUGGCAACAGAGUUUUCAGAGAUCAUCAGAUACAUCUACUUGGAAGGACCCACUGAUUCCAAUCUUUCUACUAUUAAUCCUUGCUUUCCAGCAUUUACAACUACAUCCUCUCCUUCACGAUAUCAAGAUGAAGACAACUCACCUGCUUUCACUGGUGAUUUGAUGUUCACACCUGCAGACUUCCCUCCUUUAUCUCAUGAGACACCUGCAACUUCAAAUACUCGCUUCAACAAUCAAGUAAGUAUGUCUACUGCCCCUGAGGAGGACAUUUUUGAGUGUACGACAGUCUUUGAUACCGAUCCUAUAGGCAACAGCUCUCCACCUCUGAUUGGCAGGACAGACACACUUCCUUCACAACCUUCUCCACCCAUGGGGUCCUCUCCAACAGCUGUGAGACCUGCUCAUGCUAUGGUUACUUGAUCCAAGGCUGGGAUCAUAAAAGCAAACCCACGUUAUGCUCUCCACAUCAACAAAAUCUCUUAUCCAGAACCUAAAAUUGUCACCGAAGCCCUGAAACAUCCAUGCUGGAACAAUGCUAUGCACGAGGAAAUGAGAGAAUGUAAGGAAGCUGGCACCUGGUCCCUCGUUCCAUAUACACCUGACAUGAAUGUGUUGGGCAGCCGCUGGAUUUUUGAUAACACUGUAUUUUGACCACUUUUAUAGAUCAUUUUGAAAUACUAUUUCUAUGUUUUUUAUUGCUUUCAAGUGUUUUUAUUAUGUUUUUCUAGUAUUUGUAGUUUCAAGACUUUUUUCAAGAAAAUUAGGAAAAAACUUAACAAAAUUGAUAGAAGACCAGAUUUCAGUUCACAGUCAAACCGUCAGAAGUUCACCCUCCAAUGAAGACCUUCUCACCGUCUGAUCCAGCUCAAAUGUAGAGACCUUAAAGAUGGAACUACCAGCUUUCCAGCACACUUUACAGAAUGGCAAUCCAACGAUUUGAUCAAAAGUUACGCGAAGAGCAAGAUGUCCCGUAAACCAGCCGGCAAGCAUUCCUACCCACGGCCAACAACCAUUUCACACCAGUCCCGACCGCGGAGAAUGGUAUGUCUGACCCCGAAGCCCAUUUUCAAGUCCAAAAUAAUUCCCUCAUUUGGAGAAAUCCUAAGUGACGACUUGAACAACAUAUAAAUACAUGUUUUUAGGAGCCCCAGACGAGGAGACACAUGCAAUUUCUCUUUUAGCAGCUUUUAAGUUUUUGUCUUUCAUUUUCUUAGUUUCUAGGUUUAGGGAGAUAGAGAUCUAUCUCUUGAACCCUUUUUGUUUCUUUUUUCAAUAUCGAUUUCUACUCAGCUUUUCAAUACAAUGUUUUUGCUUUCUUUAAUCAUGUCUGAGUAGUUUUAUUGUUGGGUUUAAGAAAUUUUUGAUAGGGGCUAUAUAUGUUCAAUUGAGAAUUCCAUUAGCUAUUGAAGCCGAAUCCUAGAACUUUUUCGUCUAAACUUAUUUUUAAUUCAUGGGAGUAGCAUCAUGAACUACAAUCUGAUCUAGGUCCUUGGUGUUGCGAAAGUUUUCAUUUGGGGCCAGAUCUAGUUUGAGAAGAGCAGAUCAACCAUAGGAGUGAAAACCUACCUAUGCGCGAGCUGUGAAUGUUAACGAGUCUUAAGCAAAACUGCAUAUUUUCUCUUCCAGGGCCAGAGUGGAAACCUACUGGUCAGGGUUGCGAGAUAUAGUUGGUUAUGAUCACGACAGUGGCGUAUUCAUACCCCGGAGUUCUAAAAGUUUUAGCUAGGAUUUUUUAAUUUAGUUUUUAGCAAUGUUUUGGAAUCGUUUCAUCCCCCAGAGAGAAUUUCUCUGAAAACCCAGCGCCUUCUUUUCUAUUGUUUUACACCGAUUUUUCAUUCAAAUUUUUAGCCUAGUAUUUUUACUCAUUUGAGCCGAUUUUCAUACAAGUAAUUUUGGUCUAGCCGUUUUCUCUUUUUAGUCAAUUUCUUUAAGUUUAGUUUUUAGGUCAUUUUAAUUCUCGCAUAUUCCCGUUAAGGUUAGUUUUUACGUUUUAAAGACACCACCAAAACCCCUACAAAAAAUCGCUUGGUUCUAGACUUCCUUACUUCACAUUUCUUUUGAAAGCUUUUGCAGAAAACAACCUCCUUCCCUAAGUACUAUAAUUGAUCAGUUGUGCACUUGCGCCUAUUGAUUUCAUUUAGGAUAAAACUUGACAACCCUCACAGACGAUUACAUCAGUUUUCAGAACCAAACUAAACGCAGAUGGCACAUUGGACAAGUUCAAAGCUUGCUUAGUUGCAAAAGGGUUUAACCAAGAGGAGGGCAUCGACUAUUCAGAAACGUACAUCCUUGCUAUUAGAACAGCCACUGUGAGGAUUGUUUUGGACGUUGCUAUUGUAGUGCGCUGGGACAUUAAGAAAAUGGAUGUCAAAAACGCUUUCCUUCAUGGUGACUUAACAGAAACCGUUUAUAUGAGACAGCCAGCUGGUUUUGUCGACAAGAACAGGCUAAACCGUGUCUGCCUUCUUCACAAAUCUCUUUAUGGCCUCAAGCAAUCUUUGCGAGUUUGGUUCAACAAGUUUAUCACUUACUUGCUGGAAUUUGCUUUUCUUUGCAGUGUCACAGACCCUUUACUGUUUGUCUACUCUAGAGGAAAAGAUCUCAUUCUGUUGUUACUCUACGUAGAUGACACGCUCCUUACAGGGAACAAUUCUGAGGCUCUAGCAAGACUUCUUCCAGACCUUCACAACCAUUUUCGAACGAAAGAUCUUGGAUUUGAUGCACUAUUUAUUGGGAAUUCAGGUCACUUACAAUGACGCGGGACUGUUUUUGUCUCAGAAAAAAAUAUGCUGAAGCCGUACUUGCUGUUUCUGGAAUGACUGAUUGCUUUCCAAUUGCGGGUGUGCUACGAGGUGAGGGAACAAGUUUUACCCUUAAUAAAAACAAAUAAAAGCCGCAAGUGCACAAUUAAUCAAUUGUAGUACUUAGGGAUCGAAUCCACAGGGAUUUGUGUGCCUAGUAUUUUUCUAUGGUUUCUAAGUUUAUGUCUAGACUAAAUCGGUUUUAAGGGGUUGGUGUUUGUCAUGGAUUAAACUGAAACUAAAGAAAGCAAAUGAAUCUCUCCUAAAAAGCAAGUAGAAAAUCAAACUAAAGCUAGUAAAAAUGCAGAUCUAUGAAAACAAGUAAAUAUCGAUUGGUUUGUAAACUAUAUCUAAAAACGCUGGAUUUUAUGGUACUAUAUAGGGAUCAUAAUCGGUUUCAACACUAAGGAUCUUAGAUUGGGAUUUAUGGAUAUCAAAAUAUUUGGGUUCUAGAGCUAGAGUACGGCGGUAUUACUACGUCACCGUCGUGAUAAUAACCAACUGUUUCUCGCAACCCUGACCAGUAGAUUUCCACUCUGGUCCUGGAAGGGAGAAAACGCGGGAGCUGCACAGGACUUGUCAGUACUCACAACUUCGCCGCAGGUAGGUUUCCACUCCUACGGAAAAAUCGCCUGUUUCAUUCUAGGUCGGAUACUCAAUGAAAAAUUUGGCGACACUAACUAUCUAGAUCAGAUACGAGGUGAUCAAUCAAGCAUACAUACAUUAAGAAUGAGAAUAAACAGAGAACAUAGAUAAAAUCCUAGAUCUAAAAACCUAGAUGUCUUAAUCGAUUAUGAGAGCCAUUUUCGGGAACUCUAUGCCCAACUCAGGAUCUACUCAGCCAUGGCUGAGGUCGACAUCAUCAUUGGUUCUAAUGAAAGCAAUAAAAAACAGUAAAGAAAAGAGAUGAAAGAAAGCUUCUCUAUUGAUGAACUCAUAGUUGAAGAAUCUUCUCUAAAAAUCGCAUAAAACAGCUGGAAAAAGGGUUUCUGUAAAAGUAUGAAAAGUGAUGUCUAAAAACGACCUAAAUGACAAGUAUUUAUAGUCUUCAAUACUCCAAGGUCUCUAGGGUUCCGGAAUCGAGGAUGAAAAUGACUUGGGCUUCAGAAAUUGGCUUCUUAAGUCAGAGAUGUCUGGUCGCGGUCGUGUGGAGUGUGACCGUGGAGAAUGAAGGCUUGGCCGCGGUCGCGUGGCUCUGGCCGCGGUGGAUGGGCUGUUGGCCGCGGUCGCGUGGCUUGCCGGCCGUCUUCAAAUGUCUCCGGGGGAAAUGGAGUAUCUUGAGACCAACUGUUGGAAUGUCUCCAAACCAAGUGGAUUUGAAAGUUGGUUGAGUCUGUUGUUAAGUAUCCAAUUUUGAGGGUGAUCAGACGGUGAGAAGGUCUUCAUCUCUCCAUGAGAGUUAUGACGGUCUGAAUUUAUCCAAAAGAGUCUUUUUGUUCUAAUUUGCACAUUUUUCUCCCAAAUUAUCUGAAAAGUCUUUUAAAAUCCGAAAACAUAAAAAUCCUUUGAAAACCUUUGAAAAUGGAGUAAAAACACCUGCAAAAGAUAUUAAAGUGAUCCAUAAAAAUGGUCAAAAUCCGGUGUUAUCAAUUGUUACUCUUCUUCUUGCUCAGUUGCAAAAGGUUCCACACCAAGAUGAACCUUUCUCCAAUCCCACCUAUUUCUGAAGUCUUGCAUGUAAGCUUUAAUACCUAACGCUUACUAGACGAGACCUGCAAUUUGCAGUGAAUUAUGUCUGUCAGAAGAUGCAUCCUCCCUCUCUCUCUCUGACUAUAACUUACUGAAGAGGGUACUGUGGUAUCUAAGAGAGUACUGCGGUAUCUAAAAGGUACGAUUACUAUGGGCACACACAUCACUAAUGACACUGAUUUCACACUGUGUGCCUAUAAAGACAGUGAUUGGGCUGGUUGCCCUCAUAAACGACGCUCCAUCGGUGGAUUCUGCACAUUCCUUGGAUCCAACAUCAUCUCGUGGUCCUCGAAAAAACUGUCCACUGCCUUAGUUAUAAUGAGGCAGGAUAUCGGUCCUUGUCUAAAACUGCAAAAGAAAUGACUUAGAUUAGUGCAAUUUUCAGAGAGAUCGGCGUUUCUAUUCAGAUAACUCCUGAGCUCUACGGUGACAAUCUCUCCUCAGUCCAUCUCACCGCUAAUCCAACUUUCCACAAAAGAACAAAGCAUUUUGAAACCAACUAUCACUAUGUUCGGAAAAGAGUUGCACUCGGUUCUCUCGUCGUCAGACAUGUCCCUGCUCACCAACAACUAGCAGAUAUCUUUACCAAAUCUCUGCCUUAUGAAGCUUUCAGCAACUUGCGCUUCAAAUUUGGUGUUGACGUCCCUACCACAUCAAGUUUGAGGGGGACUAUUAGUCAAUCCAGCAAAACAGAGCAAAAGACAUCUGCUCAAAACGACAAAGAAAAAGGAAAGCUGGGCAAACCGAUCAAACUCAGGAAAAGCCCAACAAAGGUUCAGUCGUAUUACAACAGACAAGUGCAGAUAAGGUGAAUAAAAGCAGAGAAGUACAAGUGCAGAAAGGUAUGGAGAAGAGCAAUAAUAUCAAGUUGGCAAACGCAUUCUCUGCCCUUUAUUCUUUGGAUACAUCUGGAUGAAGAACACCUGUCUAACACCCUCUAGGGUUUAUUGCUUUACAUUCUUUGUAUAAAUUAAACAAGACUCUAGUUAUAAAGGUUAAUCUUCAUCAAUAAAAAAAUGUUUAUCUUUUGUCAUAUUUAAGUUUCUCCUACACUUAUAAUAUACUAAUUUUAAAUCCGUAUAUAUGCAGAACAUAUAUAUAUUACUAUAGUUAUAAUAGUUUGACCAAAUUUAAAUGAUUUAUUGGUAAUGUAACGAAGUUUUGGUAAAAAAUUACAUUACGAAAACCAAUUCUAAUGGUAGUGGUUGUGAAAAAUCAAUUCUAAUGGUAAUUGAAAGGGUAUCAUUUUCCUUUUUCCUUUUUUUUUUAACAAAUCAUUUUCCUUCAAAGACCACCACUACAAAAAGACAGUCGUUUUCCAACGGUUUGUUACGACGGUAUAAAAAUCAUCGCAAAUAACCAAUGGUUUUACGACGACUUUACGAUGAAAAAAUAAAACGUCGUAAAACCGUCGUAAAAAAAAGUCAUCGUAAAUUCGACGUAAACUUUACGACGCUUUAUGACGAUUAUACAUCGAUAAAGGAGACAUUUGAUUUUUCAUGCAAAUUCGUCGUAAAAUCGAUGUAACCUUACGACGAAUUUACGACGACCAUAUUCUGAUGUAUAAUUACGACGAUUUUACGUCGAAGGAGGAGGUAGGUGAAGAACAUUUGAAACAUGUUCACCUACCUAAUGUCGCAUAAUCGAUAUAAAAUUGUCGUAAUUUUGAGGUUUGGAUGUAAAAGCGAUGUAAAAAACCAUCGUAAAAGUGUCAUAAUAUCCAAAAUUUUGUUAUAAAUACAUCUUCAUUUCUUCUUUCAUUCACAACAUCAUCAUUCAAACAUAAGAGCAUCAGCAUCCCAGAGACUCAUUUGGGUCUCUUAAACCUUAUUAUAUUAUUUUUUUGAGUUUAGAGACUCUUAAUAUUAUUAUUGGGUUGUCCAUUGCUGGAAACCCAAAUGAGUUUCUUAAAAAUAAAAAAUAAUAAUAUAAAAAUGUUUGUCCAUUCACGCGGCUACAUGUGGCACAAGAGACCGUCUCUUAUUUGGGACAAAUAAGAGACGUCUCUAAAACUUUUGGUCUGGAAUCAAAUAUAUAUAUUAUUAUCCUAGUUUAAGAAAUUGCUAAAAGACCCGGAUAAACAUGGUCUAAGCAAUAGAGAGAGAGAUUUUUUUUGAGUUUUUUUCGAAAUGUCUAUAUACGAACUAAAAAGCUGGAUGUAUAUGCGUAAAGAUUCAGAACGGGCGUUGACAGAAGAAUUCAAGAACGAAUUAGAAAUAUUCAUGUAUCAGGCCACAAAUCUGGAGAGAACCAAAGAAAGCGGGAAGAUGUUUUGUCCUUGUUUGAAAUGCAAGAAUACAAGGUAUACUCUAACCAAAACCGUGUGGACGUAUUUAUUAAAUAGAAGGUUUAUGCCACAAUAUUUUGUUUGGUAUCAACAUGGAGAAGGAUAUGGCAGUAAUACUUAUGGAAAUGCUGGUAGUAGUAGUAAUUAUCAAAGUCAUGUUGAUUUUGAUGAAUCAAAUUAUUAUCAGCCUAAUCAGUAUCAAUCUGAUCAAGGUCUAGAUCAUGAUAGGAUGCAUGAGAUGGUUACUGAUGCAUUUCAUGAAACGCAUACUGGUAAUGCUGUUGAGGAACCCAAUGUAGAUGUUAAACGAUUUUAUGAUUUUUUAGACAAUGUUAAUCAGCCAAUCUACAAAGGAUGUAGAGAAGAUCUGUCUAAAUUAUCGUUGGCAGCUAGGAUGAUGUCAAUUAAAACAGAUCAUAACCUGGCUGAGGUUUGAAUGGAUGAUUGGGCUGAUCUUAUGAAAAAGUAUCUACCGGAGGAUAACUUGGCAGCGGCAACAUACUAUGAAACACAGAAGUUGAUUUUUAGUCUUGGUCUACCUUCUGAGAUGAUAGAUGUAUGUGUUGAUAAUAGUAUGAUUUUCUGGAAAGAUGAUGAUCAGCUGCAGGAAUGUCGAUUUUGCCAAAAACCAAGAUACAUGCCGCAAACUGGUGGGCAUAAAAGGAUAUCGUACCAACGUAUGUGGUAUCUCCCUAUAACUGAUACGUUGAAACGGCUUUAUCAAUCUGAAAGGACAGCUGCAUCGAUAAGAUGGCAUGCAGAACAUACACAAGUAGAUGGAGAAGUUGCUCAUCCAUCAGAUGCAAAGGCAUGGAAACACUUCAAUAAGGUAUACCCAGAUUUUGCUAAGUUCAAACGAAAUGUCUAUCUUGGUCUAUGCACUGAUGGUUUUAGUCCAUUUGGUAUGUCUGGUAGACAAUAUUCAUUAUGUCCAGUAAUCCUGACCCCUUAUAACCUUCCUCCAGAUAUGUGCAUGCAAAAUGAAUUUCUUUUCCUUAAUAUUUUGGUUCCAGUUCCCAAUCAUCUGAAGCGAGCUCUCGAUGUAUUUCUGGAGGCACUCAUACAUGAGUUGAAUCAGUUAUGGUAUACUGGCGUUCGAACAUAUGACUGUUCAAUGGGGAAAUUUUUUACUUUGCGGGUUGUGCUUUUGUGGACAAUAAGCGAUUUCUUCGCUUAUGGUAUGCUAUCAGGAUGGACUACACAUGGGAGGUUAUCUUGUCCUUAUUGUCUUGAUCGAACUGAUGCGUUUCAGCUAAAACAUGGUAUAAUAACUUGUUGGUUUGAUUUUCACCGCAGGUUUUUACCGGAUAACCAUCCAUACCGGAGGAACAAGAGGUUAUUUAGGAAGAACAAAACUGUACGUCUUCCUCCACCCGUAUAUUUAAUAGGAGCUGAUAUUGAAGCGCAAAUCGAGUAUUGGGGGGCAGAGGAAACAGUAACGCGUGGGAGAAACUGGCACCCUCAUGCAAAUAUGCCUAAAGGUUAUGGAGUUCAUCAUAAUUGACACAAGAAAAGUAUUUUUUGGAAAUAUCAUCGUAUUGGAAAGAUCAUCUGCUCAGACACAAUCUUGUUGUCAUGCACAUUGAGAAGAACUUUUUUAAUAACAUCAUGCAUAUAGUUAUGAAUGUGACGGGAAGAAAAAAAGACAAUGGUAAGUCAAGAUUGGACUUGCCUGAUUGAUGCAACAGAAGUGAGUUGCAUAUACUGAGAAACGGGAAAGCAUCAGUUCCUGUAUUUCGGUUGAGUGCAGAUCAGAAGUCAGCAUUGUUCAAAUGGGUUUCAUCUGACAUUAAGUUUCCUGAUGAGUAUGUUUCUAAUCUUUCUAAAUCUGUUGAGAAGGGGGUAAAGUUUUCAGGGAUGAAAAGUCAUGACUACCACGUAUUUAUGCAACGAUUAUUUCCAUUUGCAUUAUCUGAACUCUUGCCCAAAAAUGUCCAUGAAGCUGUUGGAGGUAAAAUAAUUAUUACUUAACUACACUAUAUUCCUAUUAUACUUUUUGUACAUAUUAAAAUUUUAUCUAAUAUUAUGUAUAUGUACAUAUGCCGGAAUUGGUGCUUUUUUCCGGGAUCUUAGUACACGAACAUUAUCAGUUGAUAUAAUAGCACAAUUGGCAUCGAAUAUUCUAAUCUUGUUGUGCAAUUUGGAAAAAAUCUUCCCGCCAUCAUUUUUUAUGUUAUGGAACACCUUCCUGUUCAUCUCCCACAUGAAGCAGAGCUCGGUGGACCGGUUCAGUAAAGGUGGAUGUAUCCGUUUGAGCUUUUCAUGAAGCAUCUUAAGGGUAAAGCCAAAAACCUAGCUAAAGUGGAGGGUUCAAUUAUGGCGGGAAGCUUAACGGAAGAGACUUCGCACUUCACUUCGUACUAUUUUGCAUCAAAAGUACGAAAACGCAAAAGAGCUACUCGUCGAUAUGAUGAUGGAGGAGUUGGCCAAACAUAUGCAAUUGAGGGUGAACCUGACAUAUUCUUGCCGAUCGGACGUCUUAGUGGAAAAAUGAAGGAAGUUUGGUGGUCUAAUGAAGAACAUCGAUAGGAUGAAUCUGAUUGAUUUUCAUGCAUGAUUUUCAUAUAUGUUUGUUGUUAUUUUUUAUAAUUAAGUAAUUUGUAAUUGUAUUUGUUUGAUUUUUUUUAAUAAUUUAAACCAUUAGGAUGGUUUACGACAAUUUUUCUAAAUCCUAAACCCUGAGUGAACCCUUAUACCUUGAUUGAAUAGUGUAUGCGUAUUACGACGACUUUACGACGAGUAGUCGUAAAUUUGUCGUACUUUUACGAUGAUUUAAUGACGCUGUAAAAAACGUUGUAAAUCAUCGUAAAGGUCAAAUCCCAAAUUUUGAAUUCUUUAUAUCUGAUUGGUUUUUAACUAUUUCACAAAUGUUUUUGAUACGUUAUCUUAUUUUAUAUGAAAAUUGAAAAGUAUUCAUUCUGAUAAAAAUCAGAAAUUUGAAAAAAUUCAUACAUAUUUACAAGUUCAUGCAUGUUUUUGUAAAUGUUAAGUAAAACUAGGGAUUAACCCGCACUAUAGCGCGGGAGAUAUAUUUUUAAUCUUUAAUUAAUUUAAAUAAUUUGAUGAAAACAGUUAUUUUGUAAAAAUAGUUAUUGUUAUAAAGUUUACAAUAAUAUAGUGCAUAUUUUUGUGAAUUUUAAAUAAUGAGUUGAUUUGUAUAUAUAUAUAUAUAUAUAUAUAUUUUUUUUUUUGAAUUAUAAAAAAUGAGUUAAUCCAUGAAAUUAUUUUAUAAGCGUGUAAAGCAAAAUAAUUUGUUUUAAACCCGUUGGCACUAAACUAAAAUAUUAUCUAGGCUAUUAUAUAAAAAAUUAUAAUAUUAUAAUCAUAAACUCUAAUUUGCAUCGUUUAAUAAUUGACAUUUAUAAUCUGUUCACUAACUAUAAAAAUUUAAUUUUAUCUUUUUAACUAUAUAUGAAAAUAAUAUAAUAUUCUUUACACUUAGGUUUGAUAUAUAAUAAAUAAAUAUACAACAAAUUAUAUUUAAUUUAAAUAUAUAUAUAAUUUAGUAAAUUGAAUAUAUUACUUAUUUUAAAAAAUUAACAUUUUGAAUUUUGAGAUUUUUUUGUGGGUAUUAAAAAAUUAAAAUUAUAAUCUGUUCACAUCGAACUAACCCAUUUACUUAACAUAUUUGUAUUGGAUUAAAAUUUAAUAAUUAAUUAUAAUAUUCACCGUUUAAUAACUCUCAUUUCACCACAAACUUUUUUUCUUUAAAAAUCAAUUUUUCAUAUCAAAUUUUUUGUAAAAUAACUAAAAAAGUAUUUUUGUAUAUAAUCAAUCAAAUGUAGCAAAUUAUUGAAAAAAAAUACUUCACCACUUUUUUAAUAUCAUAACUUUUAAUUUUGACUUUUAUAAUAUUUCUAAAUUCAAAAAUUUAUUUUCAUGUUUUUUAAUUAAAUAUACUUUAUAAUAUCAUUUGAAAAUAAAAAUAAUAAAAACUAUCAUAUUUUUGAAUUUAGAAUUAAAUAAUAAAUAUACUCUAUUAAAUGAGAAAUAAAGACUUUCCAUAUUUUUAGCAAUAGAGUUGAAAGACAACUAUAUCCUUUCCUAUUUUAAUUAUUCUUUGUUAUUUGUAAUGACAUAUCAUGUAAUAUUUUACCAAAUAAAGGUUAUAUUUUAAAAUGUCUACUCAAAUAAUAAUAUAGAGAUGUUAUAUAUUAGAUAAGAUGAUUAAAAUAUUUUUUAUCUCAUUCAACAAAUCAGUCAUACAUGUAAAGUGAUGAACUUAUUCUAAUAUGUUAGUUUAAAAUCAGCUUUGCAUUGUCCUUAAUGCAAUAAUCAUUUUGAAAGAUUUAGGGUUUGGUAAUUUUUUUAAAUAGCAUCGUAAAACUGUCGUACAAGCGUCGUAAUAUUACGACAACUUUACGACGCUUGUUCAUCAAACCGUCGUGAAACCGUCGUAAUAUUCAUGACGAUCAUACCUCUGACAGCCACCGUAUUGGCUCCAGAUCCGAGGUACGAGGAUAUAAAUAUCUGCGUAUUACGACGGUUUUACGACGGUUUGAUGAACAAGCAUCGUAAAAUCGUCGGAAUGCUCAAACGCUGUGAGCAUGCCACAUGGCUUUUCAAGCACUGGUACGUUGGUUACAACUAAAUCGUCGUAAUGUUAUGACAAUUUUACGACGAUCACAAAAUCUAUAUAAGGGACGCAAUUUUUCCUUCUUUCAUCGUUCAUUUCUCAAAUCUCUCUCUCUCUCUCUACACACCCCCUCUCUCUCUAGCUCUCCCUUCCUCUCUCCUCUCCUAAGAAAUUUUGUACGUUUUUUUUUUCAAUUUUUUUCAGGUUAAUUUAUAUUUCUGUUAUUAAUUUUAAUAGUUAAAAUGAAAUAAUUAGGGAAAGUAGUUAGGUUUGGAAUUUAGAUAGGCCCGGAAUUUAGAAAUAAAAUAAUUUUGUUAUAUAUAUAUAUAUAUAUAUAUAUAUUUAAUUUUAAUUUGUAGAUUAUUCAGAUGGCUCCCCGGAGCAAGAGGUUCUACUACCGGAACAUUGUUGAUCUGGACGGUAACGCCCCGUCCAACUCAGCUACAGAGUCCGCCAUCUCGGAGUCCUCGGGAAUACAACCUAUGGUUUCGCAACCGGUGGUUGUCUCACCGCCUCCACCGCCUCCACCGCCACCACCACCAGCAGCAUCAGCCCCAGCCCUGAUACAGCCUCAACCGUAUGCCAAGUAUACGGUUGAGGAUCUUCUACAGAAACCGGGUCGUGGCAGUAUGAAGAAACUUGAUCCGAAUCGAACUUCGGGGAUGUUUUGGUACGAUUUUUGAUUUUUUUAUAAAUUUUUAAUUAAGAUAUUUAUAUUUAUAAUUAAUUUAAAUAUCUAACAAAUAUUGUUUUACGACUAGGUUUUCGACCGACAACCAAGUCGGUCGGAGCGUUGCCAACAUCAUCAAGGGGUUCUUUGAACAACCCCAUACCAGCUUUAAGAAGCUGGAUUAGCCAACUUUUGACACUUGAUUCAAAUGUUUUGCGGUAAUUUCGUUAAAAUUACGAAUUAUAUUAUUAUUUUUUAUCUUUUAAAAUAAUUACUAACUCUUGUAUUUUUGUAGCAAAACUGGCAUUGGGAAACUUCCGCACACGAACGUGUGAAGACAGCCUUCAGAGAGAAGGUCAAGUUACGGCACAACAACAUCGUUUCCGACUGGAAGCGCAAGUGGGAGGUCGACGGAAACAAGGCAAAGCCGGCUCCAAUGGCCGAUAGCGUCUGGGAGGGCCUGGUGCACCAUUGGUUGACCCCGCACAACCAGACUAUUGCCGCCAAGCAUUCUAGAUCCAGGUUUGUUUGUAAAUUAAAUUAAUAUGUGUUUAUAAUAUAAUAUUAUAUUUUUAAUUACAAAACUAAUAAUUUCUUUAUUUUCAGGAACGCUGUAGACGAUGCGGGAAAUCCAAAGAACGUUCCGCACACUUCCGGCCAGGUUCCUUUUGCCGGGAGACGUCUUAUGAUGGUAAGUUUUUAAUAACAAGUUUUUUCAAUAAACCUGUAAUUUGUCUUAUUAAUAAUUUCGAAUUGAUUUUAUCGGUCGAAGAAAACGGAGGAGAACUUCCUCCGAUGACGAAGGUCUUCGCCGAGACACACAAUAAGAAGAAUGGCGAAUUCACAGAUCCUCGGGCGGAGGCGAUUUACAAUGCAGCCUGUGCGAGGAUCGAUGAGCGACAGACGCAGCUCUCGCAGCAGGCGCCUCCGACGUCUCCUGGUGGUACGUUGCACAGAAUCGCUUGGAAAGCUACGAUUCCCGCUACGGAAUCAGAAUCGGAAUCGAAAUCGCAUGGAAUCGAUCAAAAUCGUUAGGGAAUCCACUACAAGAAAACAAGGUCAUUUCCGACGGAAUUUCCCACGGUAAUAUUCCGUCGGAAAUUAUCGACGGAUUUAUGACGAGGUUUUGACGAAAAUGAUAUGCGUCGGAAAUCCGUCGGAUAUUUCCGAUGGAAUAUAAUUCGUCGGAAAUUUCCGACAACUUUUCGAGGACAAAUUCCAUCAGUAAAAAUUCCGACAAAAAUGUGACGAAUUUUAGAUGGAUAUUCAUGUCCGUCAUUCUCCGUAAGAGUUCGGUCGGAAGUUUCCGAGGACUUUCCGACGACAAAUAUCGUCCGACCAAUUCUGAUGGAAUUCCGACGGAUUUCUGACAACUAUGUUACAUUUAUCCCACAUCGGCUGGCAAAAAGGAGAAAGAUAACUAAAGUGAUCUAUAAAUAUUCACACUUGCUCGAAAAAUUAUCAAGUGAGCUUUCUCAAAUGCUCAAAGGCUUGGUUAACAGUUAAAAUUUAAUCAAUUUGUUUGACCAAUUUGGUCCUAGUCGCAGAACAGUUGCGGAAGCGGGUAUUUAAUUGCUCAAGUGCAUGUGUUUUUGAACACAGAUAAAAAAUCUAUCUAUAAUGUCUUCUUCAGUUUCUUAUAAUUAUUUUCGAUCAUGGAUGGAUAAGCCUUAUCAAAUUCCAGGUACGGGUCUUAUUACGGAAUAAUAUAAACAAGGGAUACAACAAUUCAUGGCAUUUGCGAGUAUGCAAAAAAAAGCCAAAAAAUCUGGUAAAAUAUAUUGUCCAUGUACUAAUUGUCAGAAUCGUAGAUCAGUCAUAAUAGACGAAGUAUGGUCACACCUGUAUUGUAAUGGGUUUAUACCGGGUUACAAAGUUUGGUACUAUCAUGGAGAAAAUGAUUCAAUGGUUAAUUAUGCUAAUACUAGUGAACAAUAUAUCGGAGAUAGUUUAGAAGAACCUGCAAUAGAAGUAGAAGAUGUAGGUCAUGUUGAAAUGAGAAACGUUGGUCACGUUCAGAUGGUGAAUGAUGCAUUUCGUGAAAUUAUACCAUCAACUGCAGAGUAUGCAAAUAGAGGAGAAGAACCUAAUUUAGAAGCUCGGAGGUUCUUUGAUAUGUUGGACGCUGCUAAAAAUCCGUUGUAUGCUGGUUGUAGAGAUGGACAUUCCCCUUUAUCAGCUGCAACUAGGAUGAUGGGUAUAAAGACGAAUUUUAAUUUGAGCGAGGAAUGUGUGGAUGCAAUAGCUGAUUUUGUGAAAGACAUUUUACCGGAAAAUAAUCUUGCACCAGCAUCAUAUUAUGAAAUAGAGAAACUUGUUUGUGGUCUUGGAUUGCCGUAUCAGAUGAUAGAUGUGUGCAUCGAUAACUGUAUGCUAUAUUGGAGAGAGACUGUAGACCGUUCAACAUGUUAUUUUUGUCGCAAGCCUUGGUAUAAGGAUACAUGGGGAAGAGUGCGAGUCCCACAUAAACGAAUGUGGUACUUACCGUUAACAGAGAGACUGAAGAGGUUAUAUCAAUCAGAGCGUACGGCAAGUGCAAUGAGAUGGCAUGCAGAGCACACCUCGGAUGGAGAAAUUGCUCAUCCCUCAGAUGCAAAAGCAUGGAAACAUUUUCAAUCCAUUUAUCCCACUUUUGCGUAUGAGGCAAGGAACAUAUAUCUUGGAUUAUGUACGGAUGGUUUCAACCCGUUUGGAAAGCAUGGAAGACAGUAUUCGUUGUGGCCAGUAAUUGUAACACCUUAUAAUUUGCCACCAUCUCUAUGCAUGAAACGAGAGUUUUUGUUCCUUACCAUUCUCGUUCCUGGACCAGAGCAUCCAAAGAGAGCAUUUGAUGUGUUUUUGCAGCCACUGAUUUAUGAGUUACAAAUGUUAUGGAAACAUGGUGUUGAAGCGUUUGAUGUUUCUUGUCAGCAGAAUUUACCAUGCGGUCAGUACUGAUGUGGACCAUUAGCGAUUUUCCAGCAUAUGGCAUGUUAUCUGGUUGGACAACACACGGAAGAUUAUCUUGCCCAUAUUGUCAAGAUAACACAGAUGCGUUCCAAUUGAAACACAGAAGAAAAACUUGUUGGUUUGAUUGUCAUAGGCGAUUUCUACCAAAAGAUCAUCCUUAUCGUCAGAGCACCACAUUGUUUAGUAAAAACCGUCGAGUAUUUAAUGAUCAACCUCCUGAGGUAGAUGGAGAAGGUUUGUUAACUCAGUUCAGAGAUUUCGGUGUAGAGACCACCAUAGAGUGUGGUGGUAACGGGCAUCAACCUGUUGAUGGUUGUGGUAUCAACCACAAUUGGCACAAAAGAAGUAUUUUCUGGGAUUGGCCUUAUUGGAAGGAUCAUUUGUUGAGGCAUAACCUAGAUGUCAUGCAUAUUGAGAAGAAUUUUUUUGACAACAUAAUGAACACCAUUCUGAAUGUCCAAGGGAAAACAAAGGAUAAUCUGAAGUCUAGAUUGGACUUGCCAAGCAUUUGUUCUCGUAAGGCACUACAUGUUUCAUCAAGCGGAAAGCCUCCAGUCCCUGUUUUUCGGUUAGAUGAACCUUCAAAGGCUGAGUAUUUUAACUGGAUCGCCGAUAAUGUUAAAUUCCCAGAUGGAUAUGCAUCUAACCUUCGUAACUGCGUUGAUCAUGGAGAAAAGAAGUUUUCUGGAAUGAAAAGUCAUGAUUGUCAUGUUGUGAUGCAGCGCCUCCUUCCAUUUGCAUUUGCGGGUCUUCUACCACGUAAUGUCCAUGAAGCAAUUGCAGGUAUACUAAUUAUAUUAAAUUUAUUAUUUUAUUUAUAUAUAUAUAUACACUAAUUUUUCUAAGAUCUAAUUACUUUUUAAUACUUUGUAGGGAUUGGUGCCUUUUUCGAGAUAUAUGCACACGAUCUUUGACAUCGGAUGGUAUCCGGAAUUUUGCGAGCAAUAUACCUGUAAUACUUUGCAAUUUAGAGAAAAUAUUUCCUCCUUCAUUCUUUGAUGUUAUGGAACAUCUACCAAUUCAUCUCCCUCGAGAAGCAGAACUUGGGGGACCUGUUCAAUACCGUUGGAUGUAUCCUUUUGAACGGUAUAUGUUUCAUUUAAAAAAAAAAGUUAAAAAUUUGAGCAGAGUGGAGGGUUCUAUUGUAGCACAAAGCAUUAAUGAAGAAACUUCAAAUUUUGCUGAGUAUUACUUUACAAAAGAGGUCAAAACAAAGAGUCGUAGACCAACUCGACAUGAUGAUGGCGGUGAACUACCUUUUUAUCCGGUCAUCGUUCCCAAUAUUUUCUUACAAAUUGGACGACUCAGUGGAAAAGGUAAGAAACGAAGGCUUUCAACACAGGAGCGAGAUCAUUUGCAAAUGUAUAUUCUCACAAACUGCGAAGAAGUUCAAGAAUAUGAGAGGUAUCUAUUAUAUUAGACCGAAUUCUUGCUUAUAAUUGAGUUUUUAGUUGUAUAUAUUUCUUAGUUUUUUUAUAUGGCGUAUUCUGUCAGGAUUUAUAUGGCGUAUCAACGUUUUGCAUAUCCAGACAAAACUGAGGAUGAGUUGAUCGAACUAAAACAGGAAGAAUUCUCACGUUGGUUGAGAAAUUAUGUAAGUUUUUAAUAACAUUGAUUUUUAUUAUCAACUUAAUAAUUUUAUUAAAUUAUAUGCAACUCUCUCUUCCAGGUUACGACAGAGAAAGCUAAUGGUCGAUCAUUUCCAACGUGGUUAGAUGAAUUAGUAUGUUUUCCACUAUCUUCCGUACAAUCACACGUAAUGUAUAGCACACGAGGCUACGCUUUUAAGAUUUUUCAGGAUGGUAGGAGCAGAUCAACUUCAGAUUAUGGUGUAUCUACUCAAUCUGGUGAUUUUGUAUAUUAUGGUGUCCUAAGAGAGAUUUUGGAUGUUAAAUAUCCGGGAAUGCUCGGCCUGAGAUGCGUUGCAUUUUUAUGCGAUUGGUACAAUCCAGUCGUUGGACACGGUGUGCGUCAUGACCAAUUUGGUGUUACAUCAAUACAUAGCAGAAGACGACUCCAUAAAUAUGAUCCAUUUAUACUUGCUUCCCAAGCGGACCAGGUUCAUUUUAUUCGUUUACUAUUAUUUGUUAGAAUUUAACAUUUAUAUAAAAUAAUAUAAAUUAAUUAACUUUAAAUGACAUGGUGUAGGUAUGCUAUAUUUCCUAUCCUCGAAUAAAAAAUAAGCAAGAUCCAUGGAUUACAGUGACAUCAAUAAACCCUAGAGGUCGGGUACAUGGGAUUUCUGAACAUGAACCGCUCCAACAAGGCUCUGUAGGUUUAAGUUCGGUUGAGCAUUCACUUGAAGUUGAUCUUGUCGUAGAUUUCACUGUAGAUGUGGAUGAUCGGGUAUUUGAGGAGUCAGAGGAAGAAAUUGAUGAAUUUGGGGAAGAUUGUGAUUCAUCAAGAUCAGAUUACUCAUCAUCGGAUUCAGAGACAUAGUAGUCCAUGUAAUUUACAAUGUAAUAUUAUAUAUUUUGGACCAGUAAUAUAUAUUAUAUAUAACCUGUACUUUAUGAUAAAAAAACAUAUAUCUAAUUGUGAUAUUUUUUUAUAAAUUAUGAUUUUAAAAUUAAAUAUUAUUAUAUAUCCGUCGGAAAUCCGUAAGAAACUUCCUACAAAAUUCUGACGGAUUUGUAAAAUAUGACCGAUAAUAUAGCAAGUCUAGCUCCGUCGGAAUUUCGUAGGAAAUUUCCUACGGAUUUCCGACGAUUUCUAUAAAUUAUGAUUUAAAAAUUAAAUGUUAUAUAUCCGUCAGAAAUCCGUGGGAAACGUCCUACGGAAUUCCGACAGACUUGUAAAAUAUGUUCCACAAUAUAGCAAGUCUAGAUCCGUCGGAAAUCCGUGGGGCACGUCCUACGGAUUUCCGACGAACUGUUAUAUUUAACAUGUUUAUCGCAUUUUAAAUAAGUUUCCGACCUUAAAUAUCGUCAGAAUUUUGUCGAAAUUGUUCUGACGGAUUUCCGACGAAACACUAGAAUUUAUGUUUAGAAUAUAAGAUUAAUAAAUAAUUUCAUGGAAACCCUUGUCAAACAUUGUCUAAAGUAUAUAUAUUGGUACAAUGUCUUUUGAAUUGAAAAAAUAAUCAUUUGGUAGUUUAAGUUUAAGUUUAUGGAGAAUGUGGAAGUGUUAGUUUAAGUAUAUAUAAUAUAAGGUAUAGGGUUUAGUAUAAAAAUUGUAUAAGUUGGUGUUGUGGAAAAAAAAUUUCUUUAUAAUGUUUAUUUUUGUUGAGUUAACAUUUUGUUUGAAGUAAACACGUAAAUUAGAAAUAUCUUUAUCAUAUCACUAAAUUUAAAAUUCUAAACCCCAAAAUUACCCUGAAUCCGUCGGAAUGUUGUAGGAAAUUGUCCACGGAAUUCUGACGGAUUUAACUUAAAAUUUAUUUUCGAUAUAUUUUAUAAAUCCGUCGGAAAUGCGUGGGAAAUAUAUCCAUGAAUUUCUCACAGAUUAAAGAUAACAUUGUCCCCACACUCUGAUUGCCCAAUAAAAAUGCAUGCAAAUAAUAUUCUUCAUAUAUUCUAUGUUCGUCAGAAUUUCGUAGGAAAAAUGCCACAAAUUUCCGACGGAACCAAGGGUUUUCAAUUUAGCGGGAAUUUAGACUGCCAAACCAAAAAAAUAAAUUCCAUUUGUUUCAGUACUCACGGAUUUCCUACAGAUCAAUUCCGUCGGAAAUGAAAAAUAUAUAUUUGAUACAUGGAAUUAUAUUUCAUGAUUUCAUCUCUCUGUAACUGAUGAAAUCUCGUCUCUCUCUCAAAACCCGAACCGAAAUCUCUUGUCUUCUCCACUCUCUCUCUGUAAAAUCGAAAUCUCUUAUCUUCUCCUCUCUCUCUUUGUAAAAUCGAAAUCUCUCAUCUCUCUAUUCAAUCGAUAUCUCUCAUCUCUCUCUCUAAUUGAAGUUUCUCUCUCUCUCUAAAUUUCCAGUCAAUCUCUUAUCUUUCUCAAAAUCUCUCGCCAUCUUCCAAUGGAUGCCAUGUAAGUUCUUCUUUUCCCCUUAUUCUUGUUGUUAAUUAUUAGUUUCAAGUAAGGAAUCCCAGAUCCAUAUUAUGUAUUAGGUUGAUAGAUUUAAGGAAUUUAUUAUGAGAGAUGAUUAGAAAUGAAGAUUGGAAUUAGCUUAUAGUUAGUUUAUGGGUGUUAAAUUUUUCUUUGUGUGGCAUGACAGUAUAGCGAUUGUUAGUUUUAGGAGACAAUAAUUAUUUAUAAUUUUAAAGAAUUACAAAAACAGGUUUUGAGUAUUUUAUUUUUAGAUUUCUAAGUAUUCAUUCAUAAUUUUUUGAUAAUAUUAAAAUUCUUUAUAUAAAUACAAUUAUUGUAAAUCUUUAAAAAACGUUUUUGUAAUAUAUAAUAAACGUUUUAAUAGUAGAAUAAUUUAAAUAAAUUAACAAUAUCUAAAAAAACUAUUUGCAAUAUCUGAGAAAACGUUUCUCUAAACCCUUUUUUAAUAUAUAAUAAAACGUUUUAAUAGUAGAAUAGUUUAAAUAAUUUAACAAAAUCUAAAAAAGAUAUUUGCAAUAUCUAAGAAAACGUUUUUCUAGAAUUUUUUUAAUAUAUAAUAAAACGUUUUAAUAGUAUAAUAGUUUAAUAAAUUAACAAUAUCUACAAAAAAUAUUUGCAAUAUCUAAAAAACGUUUUCUUAAUAAUAUUAAAAUAUGUUUUAAAUGUUUGUAAACAUAUAUAUCAUUAAUUUGAAUAGGAAAACGUUUUCUAAAUAAAUUAACAAAAUAUUAUAAGAUUUUGAAAUAAUGAAAUAUUUGAAAAUAUUGAAAACUUUAGUCAAAAGUUUUUGAAAUCUAAGAUUUUUUUAAAGCUUCCUAAACUUAUGAAAUGAAAAAUUGUUUUACUUACGUUUAAAUUUGUUUCAAAGAGACGAGGAUGCUAUUUGUUUGAACUCACAAGGACGGAGUCGGUCUCGAGAUACUUUCCAAAGCAUGCACACCUCAAGCACUGCAAUUCCGGAUUCCGAGCAAUCUAGGGCCCGCAGCCACAUGGAAAUUGAGGACUUAGUCGAUCAGCCAAACCGAAGACAUUGUAUCCGUCUUGACCCUAUGUACGAAGAUGGGACUUGGUAAGUUACAUUUUGAUUUUUUUUUUUUUCAAUUAAUUUAGCUUAUAAUUUAUAAUUUACAAUUUGUUUUUGUUUUGUUUUAAUAUUACAGGUUUAAGUUGUCGCAUGCGAUAACUAAAGCGAUAUUUCGGAUGCUCCAUAACUUGUUGGACAAACCGUAUGAGAGAUACUCAUACAUGCCGAGACACGAAAAGGAUUUAUGGCAUCGUACUUUCGCGGUAAGUUGGUGUUUUUUUAUUUUUAUUUUAGAAAAAUUUGAUAUUUUUAACUCUUAAUAUAUUUUGUGUUUUUUUUGUAGCAAGAGUUCACUUGGGACCGCCACCAUACAACGAAUGUUCUCAACACUUUCGACAAGUAUGCCACUACCCAGUACUCGCAGCACAUGUACGAGUGGAAGCAGAAGUGGCUUCAGAAGAAACAUAAGCCAAAAGAUCUUGAAGACGAUGUUUGGAAAGGAUUUUGCGAGUAUUGGGAUAAACCAGCAACGAAGAAGCUUUCAACAACCAACUCGAAGAAUCGAAGGAGUGAACGGAAUGGGAAAGGGAUGUACAUUCACAACGGAGGUGCAAAGACUAUCGAACGAGAAGCGAUGGAAAUGGUAAGUAUAUAUUUUAUUAGAAUUUUAUAUAUUUUCUAUUGCUAUAUUACUUAACAAAUUUUUGCAGGCAAAAAAAGCCGGUGGAAUUCCUCCGGAUUUUCUUGAGCUUUUGGAAAUAAGACACACAAACAAAAAGACCGGUGUUAUCCAAGAUCCGGAGAUUCGUGAGAAGAUUGAAAUCUGCAAAAAGAGGAAGGAGGACAAGAUUGUGGAACUCUCGCAAUUCAAUCCCGAUGGAUCGACUUCUUCAAACGAGAUACUCCGAGAAGAGAUCAACGACAUUGUUCUCAGUGUAAGUUAAAAAAAAAUUUCAUUAAUUUUCUUUCUCUAUUUCAUCAUCUAUCUAACAAUUUUAUAAUUUUUUUUAGGAAAUUCGAAAAGUGAAGGGCAGAUUUGUCGGGUUAGGCGGACUCCCGAGCCAAGAGUCUUCUUCUUCAAGUUAUUAUGCCCCAUCUGCAAACUACAAAGCUGACAUAGAUAAACUAUCUCUAACGGUUAGAGAGCGUGAUGAGGAGGUUGCAGAGCUUAAGGCCGCUAACCAGUCAACCCAACAAGAACUAUCUGAUCUGAAAGCCGUUUUGAAAACCGCAUUACCUUUUCUUUAAAUAGUUAUGUUUUAAAAUUUUCAAAACUAUUGCUAGUUUGUAUUUUUUUAAAAACAAAUUUCAUGUUUUUAGAAUUUUUAGUUUAAUUAAUAUUUUUAAAUGUUUAUUAAUUGUUUAAAAUAAUAAAUAAUAAUUUUAAAUAAUUAAUUGCAAAUUAUGUAUAUAUCUGUAUUUUCAAAACAAUAUUUAUAAUGGUCACAAAUCCGUUGGAAAAAGUUUGGUCACAAAUCCAUAAGAAACGUUUCGUCGAAAAUUUGUAAGAAAAUCCGUAAGAAUAUAUUUCGUCGGAAAUCCGUAGGAAUGCAUUUCGUCGGAAAUCCGUAGGAAUGCAUUUCGUCGGAAAUUCGUAAGAAUGCAAUUCGUCGGAAAUUCGUAGGAAUGUAUUUUGUCGGAAAUUCGUAGGAAAUAACCGACCUUAAGGUACCGUGGAACAGUCAUCGGUUUUUUGUCGGUAAACUUUCACCACGGGAAAACGUCAGUAGGUUGUCGGAAAAGAAUUUAUCGGUUUAGCGUCAGAAAUAUCCGACAAGAUUCCAACCACUACAAUCCGUCGGAAUAUUCCCACGACUUUCCGACGGAUGCAUAUUUCCGACCAGCUCAAACCGACGGAAUUUAUUUUGUGGCAAAUCCGUCGGAAACGGUCAUUUCUGACGGAUUUCCUAUGGAUGUAGUCGUCAGAAAUGAGCUGUUUUCUUGUAGUGAUCGCGAUUCCAAAAUUUUACCGUUUGGAAACACCGAGGAAUCUUAUGAUUCUGAAUUGGAAUCAUGUUCUUUUUGGUUGCAAGCGUUAGCUACGAACUUCGAUCAAAAUUAUAGAAGGAGAAGAUGACAUGUCAUUACAAUUUUGUUAAGCCUAUAUAUUUCAAGCCCAUUAGGCCAUUUUUAUCGUUUUUUUUAUGAAUGUGUGAUGAUGCAUUGGAUUUUUGUUGUUUAAGUUUAAUAUAUUUUGUAUAUAAUUUUAUGUUAGAUGUUUUAUGAUAUAUAUACAUAUAUAUGCUUCCAACACAUAUCUGCUUCCUAAAUGUUUUGAAAAAUCCGCUUCCCCGCUUCCAAACGCUUCCCUUCCGCGAUUCUGCUUCUGAUUCUAUGCAGCUUACACCGACCUUGACGGUGGCAGAGAUGGAAGAUCUUCGAAGAGGUAAGCUUUAAUUUAUUUUUUCCUACUUAAUCUUCAACUAUAGGUGUUUUAAAUAUGUUUUUAACAAUUUUCCAGGUUGCCCCUUGGAAGAAGGGUAAAGUUUUAGGGAUGAGAUCCAUCCAUGAUACCCCGAUCGCUACUGUGACUGGUCAUAUCCGGGCAAAGGAUCCAGUGGUUAUUCGCCAGGAGCUCCACCAGAUGCGGACGCAAUACAAGACGAAGAUCGACAAGUUGUACGGUUUCUUUGAUAUUUUGGGCGCCGAGAACCCGUUGCUCCAAGCACAGUUGGUCAGAUUGCGGGCAGCUGGAGUUCUCGGCGCAUCUUCUUCAUCCUCAAGGAGGCAACCAUCGGUGCAGACGGACGAGGAGAUGUUCCGGUCUCUCGGGGUUAAUCCUCCUAGAACCGGGGAUCAGGCGCUGGAAAACUCCAACCGAAGAGCCGGCAAGGAACCUGCGGACCAAGAUGGGGAGCAAGACGAUGCGGAGAUAGACAACAUUAGUGUAGAUUUAGGUCUUUAAUAUAUUUUUUAUAAAUAAUGUAAUUUUUGUUAUUUUGAAUUAUAAUUAAAUUUAAAUAUUCAUUUUUUAUGAUAUAUAUUUUUUUUCAAUUAAAAUUUCAAUUCGGAUUAAAUAAUUUUUAUUUAUUUUCAUUUUAAGAAAACUUCGUAUAUUUAUCGUAAUAUAUUUAUUAUUUAUUUAAUCCAUCGUCGUAAAAUCGUCGUAGUAAAAUAUAAAAAAAUACGACUUAAUUACGAUGAUAUGUGCGUCGUAUAUUAUAUACGACGCUCAUACGUCGGUUAUUUAUGAUGGUUUUAUGUCGAAUUAAAAAAAAACGACCCAAUUACGACGAUAUGUUCGUCGUAUAUUAUACGAUGCUCAUACAUACAUCAGUUAUUUACGACGAUUUUACGACGGAUACGAUGAAAAACAAAUCAAGGAAAAUCGAUGUAAAUUCGCCGUAAAUAUUAUGACGCUUUUACGACAUCUUUUUUACGACAAUUUUUGACCGUCCUAGAUUUUACAACGAUUUUAUAUAAAAUAUCUUUUACGAUGAUGCGUUUACGAUAGUUUUGAAACCGUCGCAAGGGCGUCGUAAUAGGAAUUUUAUAACGAUUUUACAACGGUUUCGGCCGUUGUAAAAGAUGUUUUUCUUCUAGUGUACAAGCUGUAUGUGAGUCUGUGAGAGUGUGAGCCUAGGUCCGAGCAUGUAUGAGCAAUGCUAUUGGUAUAUUACUAUAGUUAUAAUAGUUUGACCAAAUUUAAACGAUUUAUUGGUAAUGUAACGACGUUUUGGUAAAAAAUUACAUUACCAAAACCAAUUCUAAUGGUAGUGGUUGUGUAAAGCAAUUCUAAUGGUAACUGAAUGGGUAUCAUUUUCCUUUUUUUUUUGAACAAAUCAUUGUCCUUCAAAUACCCCAAGCUGCAUGUGAGUCUGUGAGCCUAGGUCCGAGCAUGUAUGAGCAAUACUAUUGGUAAUGUAAUUAUUGAAUGAGUAUCAUUUGAAUAUCGUUGUUGACUUAAAAAAAAAAAAAAAAACCCAAAAUAGAAUAAAUAAACAAAGUAACAAAAAAAAAGAAAAGAAAGACAGCAAAUGUAGGGUCAAUAUAAACGUAUCCUCGUCUCUUCGUCUCUUUGCAUUCUUCUUCUUCCUCUUCUCUUCUCCUCUCGCUACCAAAAAAGAAAGAGGAAACAUGGUUCUGAGUAAAACGGCAACGGAGAGUGGCGAAAAUGUUUGCUCGACGUUUGGAUCUCGCUAUGUCCGCACUGUACUUCCCAAGUAAUUAAGAAGAACAUUAUUCUUCAUCUUUACCUCUUAUUGUUAAUGGAUUUAUUUUCUUACUUAAUAAUGAAAUAAGCGGAUUAUUAUAGGUAUGAGAUUGGUGAGAGUUCGAUUCCAAAGGAUGCUGCUUAUCAGAUCAUAAAAGAUGAGCUGAUGCUUGACGGUAACCCGAGGCUGAAUCUAGCUUCGUUCGUGACGACAUGGAUGGAGCCAGAGUGCGACAAACUCAUUAUGGAGUCUAUCAACAAGAACUAUGUCGAUAUGGACGAGUACCCUGUCACCACCGAGCUACAGGUCUCUUGAUCUCUCUUUAGAUUCUUAUACGUCCAUGUUAAUUAGGUUGUCCUUAGAUCUCGUUUUAGUUUCUAACAAUUAUUUGAACCAAACUAAAAAUCAAAGUUUUAACUAGGAUUGGAUUUGGAAUGGUAUUUUUAAAACAAAAUAUAUGAUUAAUUCAAUAAUUAAGUUUUGUUCAAUCACACAUUCUAAUUACAUAAAGAACUCCGUUCUUGAAUGUUCAAUCCGGAGAAACGUAAAUUAGAUAAUUAACGUUAAGAAAUCUAGUUCAAGGCUAAAACUGUGAGAAAUCAUAGAGUAUAAGAUUCUAAAAAGAACAAAAUUACAAAGCAUAUAUCGAAAAAGUAUCAAUUUUGGAUUACAGCCUUGAAGGGUUAGAGAGGGGGAUUAUAGUGAAUAAUCAGGAGUUAUGUGAGGUGGAAGAUGAUUUUUUUUGUGUGUGGAUAAUUUACGGUUGAGUAUUAGUCCUACAUUUUCUAUUCGAUGACACUUUACUAAAAGCCAAAAUCAUAUUAUUUAUGUUUUUUUGUUUUAUUUUUUUAAUAAUAUGACCCAUACGGUUUUAGCUUUUAUUGGCCGACAUAUUCAAGUUUUUAUACUAGUGGCCUUGCUGAUUUUAUACGUUGCUCUCUCAAAGCAUAAAUAACAUUGUUGACGACUGAUAUCUAAUUGUCAUCAAUAUUGGUGGCCCAUUUGAUUUGGGAACUUAGAAAAUAUCACCUUCGGUUAUCGUUAAACCAAUCCGUAUACUGAUCCGGUUUCUUUAUUACUUCUAGAUGAAUCAAUCAAGUACAAAUAACAUAUGAUUAAAGUUUUAAAAACAUAUAAAUCUUCAAGCAUCUAUGGUAUGGGAGAAAAAGAUGGUAAAGCAUAAUGAUAAUUGAGGAGCCGAAAGACAAAGUUUUGUCGGCAACCUCUCUUCGUUUAACACAUCACCACACAAUUUUUUUGGUUUUGAUUGGUUCACUCAAUAAUUUAAUUGAAGAUAAUAUAUAUAUACUGUUUAGGGUAUGUAAAGUUGAAAGGUGAUUUACAGAUUGUGUGGGAAGCUUUGCGAAUACGCGGUACAUGUUGUAUGAAAUUUAUAAUAAUCUAUAACUGACAUAAGAAAACUAUACAUUAAAAAAUGAAUAAGAAGCUAAAAGUAAACAAAUUUACAAAAAAACUAUAAGUUGUCAUGAAAACGUAAGGAGGAGCCCACCCACCAUUACAAUCUCGUGAUUGCUAGGUCUAUAGUCACACUGAUUCUUUCAUAUGAAACUUAGAUAGUUUCGUCAGAAAGUUGUACUCUCAGUUUGUUCUUAAGUGGAAUAGGUGAUGACAUAACCGUGUGGCAUAGUGUGAAUACGAUCAUAAUAAAAUUAAAAUAUCAUAGACUGCUUUACUGCGAUUUGCCAAUAUAUGCUGUCAUAUUGUUUAUUUAUCAAUUAUAUAUAUAGCCAAUUGUUGAUAAUUAGAGCGAAUCAAACUAGAAGAAAACGUAAAUUUUACAGAAAAAUGUAUUGAGACAAAUAUCCGUUUUAAGAAUUUUGUUUGUUAUUCGAUGAAUGAACAAUACAAAUCUCCUGUAUCUAUAGUGCUAGUGCCCCAAAUUUAAAUUCUAAUAGGAUUAGUAAAAAUGAAGUUUUCCUUAAUUUAGUAUGAUACCGUUUCCUAAUAUCAACAUUCUUUUGCUAUUUUAAAAAUGGGUUCUUAUUAACAACACCCAUUGAAACUACUAAAAUGUUAUUUAGUCUAUCAAAUUUGUUUAUCCUCUAGUUUGAUGGAAGUUUAAAAAUGUUUUGGUUGAUUGAUCAUCUAGAUAUUUUGUGUAAAGAUGAUUACUGUUAUUAUUGGCUACAAAAAAUAUGUGCUCACACAUCAUAAUUUUGAAUUUGUUGGAAAAAACAGAACCGAUGUGUAAACAUCAUAGCUCGACUGUUCAAUGCGCCACUCAAUGAAACAGAGACCGCGGUGGGAGUAGGGACGGUUGGGUCUUCGGAAGCCAUCAUGUUAGCCGGAUUGGCCUUCAAAAGGAAUUGGCAGAACAAACGCAAAGCCGAGGGUAAACCCUAUGACAAACCCAACAUUGUCACUGGAGCCAAUGUUCAAGUGAGUAUAUAUCUUCUUCAUCUCACUAUAUUAACCAUUAUAAGAAAUAAAUGGUGAUCAACAGAAUAUUUAUUAAAAAGUUAAAAUAAUACUUAAAAUAUUGAAAAAAAAAUACUUAAAAUAUUGCAGAACACACUUUUUGUUAGGUACUACCGAGAUUGUCAUUUAAUAAAAAUCAGUUGUUUUACUUUGAUUUUUAUUCACUCAUAGAUUUGCAUACAUUUUUCGUUUAACCUGUUUAUAUUACUUAAAGAUUUUACUAUCUUUUUUUUUCUUUCUUCCUUAUCUAUAUGAUAAAUUGAUGAAAUAAGGACACAAAAAGGUUUAGGAAGAAUUAUUACUAGAGUCUCAUGGGAACUAAGUCAUAAAAUACAGAGCUAUAUAGAAACUGAAACAUCUUAAGCAAUGUUUUCAGACCCGGACCGGACCAGACGGUUCGACCGGUUAAAUCACAACCCGGUAAGAUUUCUGGUUUGGUUUUUGUUGAAAACCCAGAACGUUAUUAAACCGCUUAAAUCCAGAAAAACCCGCUUAAAUCCGGUGAACCGGUAAAACCCGACCCGGAUGGGUUUCUGGUUUGGAAAAAAAAAAUAGUUUUAUAACUUAAUUUAUGAAUAUAUAUGAUAUUUUUUAAAAAAUAUAUAUAUAUAUAUAUAUAUAGUUUUGAAAAACAAAAUUAGAACAAGAUGCAGAGCACUUAGAGUAACAGAAGAUGAAGAAAACGAGGCGAUAGCAAAAUUAAAAAAUAUUGCUAGAACUUUCUACAUUACUUUUGGAUUUUAUGAGAUAAUUAAUAUACUUUUAUUUUAAUGUUUUUAGUAGUAAUAACAGUUUGUUUUUCUAUAUUUUAUUGAAUGGUUUGUUACUUUCUCACCAUUAUACAAUUGUAAGUUUUAUAAUAUCAAUUUUUUUAGUAAAAAAUAAACAGUUUAAAAAAGAAAAUAAAUAGAAGGAAAAAGAAUAUAUAAUAAAAUAUAUAAUUAUAAAUGUUCAAAAAUAUAGUAAAUAUGAUCACUAUAUUUAGUGUAUAUUUUAUUUAAAUUUUAUUGAAAAAAAUUAUACAAAAAAGAUAUAUGAUAAUUAAUGCGAUUUAGUGACAAAACUUUUUACCAAAAUUUGUAUUUUUUUACACAACAGAAAAAAUGUAACAAAAGUGAUAAAAUUUAUUAAAAAACAUAACAAAUAUAUAUACUUAAUAGAUCCGCAGUUGACCCGGAUUGAUCCAGGUUAAUCCAGUGACCCGGCAACCCGAAGAACACUUCGGAUCGUUGUCCGGGUCGGGUUUAAAAACAUUGAUCUUAAGUUUCCUAAUUAAAUAAAAAUAAUACAUUCAUAAAUAGAUAACUGUUAAUACUUUCAGGUGUGCUGGGAGAAAUUUGCUCGGUACUUCGAGGUGGAGCUAAAAGAAGUGAAGCUAAGUGAAGGUUACUAUGUGAUGGAUCCGGAUAAAGCAGCAGAAAUGGUAGACGAGAACACAAUCUGUGUUGCUGCCAUACUUGGGUCCACACUUAACGGUGAGUUCGAAGACGUCAAGCGUCUUAACGACUUGCUGGUUAAGAAGAAUGAAGAGACUGGUUGGAACACACCGAUCCACGUGGAUGCAGCAAGUGGUGGCUUUAUAGCUCCGUUUAUCUAUCCUGAAUUGGAAUGGGACUUUAGGCUUCCAUUGGUGAAGAGUAUCAAUGUGAGUGGUCAUAAGUAUGGAUUGGUCUAUGCCGGUAUUGGUUGGGUGGUGUGGAGGACAUCAGAGGAUCUGCCUGAGGAGCUCAUCUUUCAUAUUAACUAUCUUGGUGCUGACCAACCCACAUUCACUCUCAAUUUCUCCAAGGGUAUGCAUGUUAAUUUCAUUUUCUUGAUUUAGAAAUCUUUGAAGAUAUGAUGUUAUUUAUGGAUGGUUAUGUACUGUGAUGAUUUUUUUUGGGUUUUUGUAGGAUCGAGCCAAAUUAUUGCUCAAUACUAUCAGCUUAUUCGUCUUGGGUUCGAGGUGAGUCUAUUGAAACAAAAAUAUUGAUUUUAGUGUUACUGUUAUAGUGAACAUAUGUAGUCUUCGUUUCCCGAUAAAUAUCGUUUCAAUUUUUAUCUAAUCUUUUUAAGAAAAUAUAUCGAUUUACAUUUUCAGUGUUGAAUAUAUGCAAUGUCUUAAUUAGGAGUCUCCAAUUAAAAAAAAAAAAAAUAUAUAUAUAUAUAUAUAUAAAUAUAUCGAUUUUUGUUUUGUGAAAGAAAUGUUACUCAUUCUUUGUUACACAUAUAGGCUUGAUGUGUAAUCGGAUGUGUUUCAUAUGAAUAGGGCUACAAGAAUGUGAUGGAGAAUUGCAUAGAGAACAUGGUGGUUCUAAAAGAAGGGAUUGACAAAACAGAGCGUUUCAACAUAGUCUCAAAGGACGUAGGAGUGCCAGUCGUAGCCUUUUCUCUCAAGGACCAUAGUUUCCACAACGAGUUCGAGAUCUCUGAGAUGCUACGACGCUUUGGCUGGAUUGUCCCGGCUUACACUAUGCCUGCAGAUGCGCAACAUAUCACUGUUCUGCGUGUUGUCAUUAGGGAAGAUUUCUCAAGAACACUUGCGGAGAGACUUGUUUCAGAUAUUGUGAAGGUGCUUCAUGAGCUAGAUACCUUGCCUUCAAAGAUAUCUAGUAAGAUGGGAGAUGGGAAAGAGAAGAAAAUGGAGAAGGAGAAGCUGAUGGAAGUUAUUGGUGGGUGGAGGAAGUUUGUGAAGGACAAGAAGAAGAUUAAUGGUGUAUGUUAAUGGAGGUGUGUUGUGUUAUGUGUCUGGAUGUGUUCUUGUCUAUUAAAGAUUUAU